GUGUUUGUGUUUUUUUUUUUUUUUUUCUUUUUGAAAUGUGAAUUAGUUUGUAAAUUUGAGUUUUGGAUUAUUAAUUUGAGCCGAGUUCACUACAACAGAAUUAGAUUAUAGGAAUACAUAUUUAAAAUACUUUUAUGUAAGUGUUCUAUUUAUAUCAAAACUUUUAAAAAAAUUUAUUAAUGCCUAAAUAUAAAGCCCAAUCCAACACAAAAUAAAAUGAUACUCUAUUCAACCCACGCCACCUAGUCCAUUUGACCCGAUUACAAACAUAAAAGGAAAAAAAAAAAAUCAAUUACCAUCUCCCCUUCUCUCCACACUCAAUCCACUGAAAUUCUAGACGAAGAGCUCUUCCCACUCCUCAUCCUCCGCCACCGCAGCCAACGAGGUAGAGUUCUGGCGGUUGCUAAAUACUUAAAUAAGUGUUGAUAAAUUAGCAGUACUCUUUUUAGGUUAGAGCGACACUCUUUAACUGUCACUAUAUACCUAGCGACCCCACAUAUAUAACACUUUUUAAAAGUGUCGAUAAUUUAGCCAGCAGUAUUUUUUUUUACUUAUACCGAUAUUUAAAAGUAUCGCUAUAGAUCGUUUUUGUUGUAGUGGUUUAUGAAAAUAUCACCAGAUGGAGUGCAAAUCAUAAUAUUGAUCAGAGAAUUUUUUAUCUACGAGCUGGCGCAGCGGUGCGUCGAACUCGCAACUCAAGUAAAAAUUUGCGAGGAAUAAAUUAAGCUCCCUCCGCGAUAUCAUGAUAAACCGUUAAUUAGACUAUUUCUCUUUAGGGAGGCUUUCAUAAUUUUUUUUUUUUUUCACUAACAAAGUAGAUGGGAUUGCUAAAGAUAAGGCCAAAUUCAAUUUAGUUUUGAUAAUUUUGUUAGAUUUUUUUUUUUAUUUUUGUUUUUGUUUUUCUGUGGUAAGUUAGUAGAUAUAUGACUGGAACGGAUUAAUUUGUUUUUAAGUUAUACUCUUUUCUUAAUUAGUCAUAUUUCUCAUUAUUUAUCAAUUUGUUUUUUGUGUGUCCCUGUAGUAACUUGUUAGAUUCAGAGACUACCACCAUAUAUAGCAUAGAUGGAGUAUGAAUACAAAUGUAACAAAAAAACCAUCAUUCAUCUUGCUUUGACAUCCGUGCAAUUUACUUGAUGGAUGGCGUAGUUGAUGGUCUAACUUAGGGAGUUGUCCGUGAUAAAUUUUUGUUCGUUAUCUCAUUUAUAAUGCGUUUCUUCGUAGGGCAAAAAAAAAAAAAAAAAAAAAAAUCUGAUGAUUAUAUAAGAAAAUUAAUCACACUCCCAGAAGGACGUAAAUCGUGUUAGUCUAAAUGAAGAAAAAAGUUAACGAUUUAUUGUAGCAUUUAAUUAGUCAUCUGAUUAAUUACUUGUCUUAACACUAGUGACACAACAACCUUAGGCAUCCAAAAGUAUUACUAACUAAACCCAAAUUAGAAAACAUGUUUUACUCCAAAAUCUUGGGGUUGAAAACUUCCCAAUCCUAGUAACCACAAAUGAUUAAAUUUACCCAUUAUAUGGGCCCAUUUGGCCUAGAUUCUGGAAAAGUGAUUUCUACAGAAUUGAUUUUAGUUGGAAAAAGUGAUUUUGGUUAAAAGUUGUAGAGCGUUUGACUGAGUUAAGGUAAAACUGAUUUUUCUGAAAUAAUUUUGUAAAGCUGUUUGGCAAAAUCUUUUUUCAUGUCUAAUCUUUUCAUGCAACUGUGAAUCACUACAUAAAUGAUCACUCUCCUUUGCAUGUGAAUUGCAUUGCACAUGUCUGAUACAGUAAUCUAGAUUUGUGGCAGACAUGAAGUUCUAUCUAGUGUUAGCUUUCCAACAAAAAUUAGUUGGUCUUUGUCUGAUGUCCCAAGUGGUGAUCUUUAUUAUUGUAGUUACUUGAUAGUUGCAAUUAUUUGUACUAAGUAUCUGAUUGCCAGAUGAAUCAUGCAUUGCGGAUCUGAAAAGAGAGUUUAAUUGUAUUCAUGAUUGAACCUUUUCCGAAAGAGCAAUGCUAACUGUCACGUCUUAAUCGAAUCAUGUCCCCAAUUCACUAGCCUAAAAGAAUUAUCAAAUGAUAUGAGACCCAUCUCAUACGUCUGAUUGGUAAAUUGACUCUGUUCACUAGAUAGUACUGGUAAUUCGUUGGACCCAAACCAUUGGCUCAAAAUACUUGAGUCUAGUUUUUAAUAUUAGAGUUUAUGAUUUUUAUGUUCCUAUUCAUAAUUCUUUAUCUAAUUGAUGUGAGACUAUUUGAGUGUCACAAAGUCUCUCCAGAUAAUUAGUGAAAAAAGAGAAAAAAAAAACUUAAUAAGACUAGUGGAUGAAUCCUAGCCGUAGAAAGUAGGAUGUAAGAUAUACAAGUAGGGAUGUAAUGUGGGCUGUGCCGGGCCGGCACGGCCCACAUUUUCCGGGCCGAAACGGGCCGCAGGCCAGCCCGGCACGACCGGUCCCAAAAUCGGGCCGUGCCGUGCCGGGCCAAAGUUUUUGGAACCCGGCCCAGCACGGCCCUCCGGCCCGGACUGCACGGGCCGGGCUUCGGGCCAGCCCUUUUUUAUUUUAUUAAUUUUAUUUAAAAAUAUUUAAAUUUUUUGAAAAAUAAAAAUAUUAAUAUUAAUUUUUUUNAUUUAUAAAAAUAUUAAAAUUUUAAAUUAUUUUAAAAUUUUAAAUUUUUGGGACCAAAAUACCCUCCCAACAGUCAAAUUUUUGACUGUUGGGAAGGGCAUUUUAGUCCAAGCCCAACUCCCAAAGCCACAACCCAAUCUUUGACUAUUGGGAGUCCCAAAGCCACAGGCCACAGCCCAACUCAUUGGGAGUUGGUGCCUCCCAAAGCAUUGGGAGUUGGUGCAGCCUUGUACCCAACUCCCAAGACCCUUCCUGGGCCCGGCUCGGGAGGGCCUGGCCACACGGGCCGGGCCGUGCCGUGCCGGGCCGGGCCUGGGUACCCUCUAGGCCCGGCACGACCCAAGCCUAUGUCGUGCUGGGCCGUGCUGGGCCAUCGGGCCGCGGGAGCAAGGCCCAGCACGCCCGAUUUAACUGGCCGGGCCGGGCCGGCACGGCAUGCUACAGUACUCGUGCCGUGCCUGGCCCGGCCCACUCCCGUGCCGGGCCCGGCCCACUCCCGUGCCGGGCCGGGCGGGCCGCGGGCCGCCCUGCCCGUUUGACACCCCUAUAUACAAGUACGUUCAAGGUGUAGAGGUAGUAUUGCUCUACUUUUUUUAGCUUGUAAAUAUAAAGCAGUAUUAUAGAUCAGGACACGUAUAAAUAAGAUGUAAAUCUUGCACCCUAGUCAUCCAAAGACUAAUACUUUUUUACUAGUCUUAUCAACCUAUUUUUUGAUAUUAAAAUUCAAAAAGAGUAUUUAAAUCUUUCCAAGACCGGGUGUAAAAGUUACACUUACUUAUAGGGUGUAUACAUGUAGCAUAUUUCAUAAAUAUAUGUUCGAUUCUACUUUAAAGUGUAAUGUUAAUUGUUCAAUUAAUAGUGUUUGAUCAAUGCCAGUAGAGAAAAAAUUAUAAGAAUUUUAAUUCAGUUCUGCAUAAUUAAAAGUUAUAGGUUUUCUUUUUAUUGCUUGCAAUAUGUUCUACUGGAUAUAACUUCAACCGAAAUGAACGCAAAAGCUCAACCAAAUAAGACACGAUUUAAAUUAGGAAAACCUACUCCAAGUGAUAGUUCAAACUCUUGUUUGGAAUCAUCCACCACUUUAAUGAGGAUACAUUAAGGGUGCGUUUGGUUCGCGCUAUUUUUUUAAAAUUCCUAAUAAUUCAAUAGGAAUAAAAAAAUAUGACAGUGUUUGGCUAAACGCACUAAGUAAUCUAGUUGGUAAUAUUAGAUUUACUUGGAAAUGAGAUUCAUCCCAAAGUACUAAUCUCAUUCCCUUGAGGGAGGGUCGGUAUCCUCAUAUUAAUGGAUUGGGGUAAUCAUAAUAUGUCUAAUCUCUUUCUUUCUCCCUACCCGCCGCCGGCUAGUUGGUAUUAUUUUUCUUUACACUCUAACCUCAUAUCUCUCUCUAAACUUUUUUUUUCUCUCUAAACUAAGCUCUCUUUCCCCCUCUUUUUCUAAAAUCUCAACUCUCUCACUCCCUCUAAUCUCGACUCUAUUUCUCUUCCUAUUUCUUUAAUUAUGCUCUCUCUCUCUGAUCUAUAUUCUCUCUCUCCCUUUUUCUAAAAAGAUGUUGAAAUUUUUGGUGGCUGUUGGUAGCCGAAUUUCUCGACCCUUGACUCAGUCAAAGAUCAUCCUCGGGGAGUACGUCGGGGUGAGGAACGGCUGCGGAUAGUGACCCUCGAAGUUUGUGCCAUUCGACAGAUCAAGCGAUUCGGCUGACAAGGGAUCGGAUCAGCCGGGUUCGAAGACCUCUACAGUAAAUUCGGUUCGGUUGGAGGAGCCGAAUGUACGAACUGUGCAGUGAUCAAUGUCGGCAGAAGAGCCGAGUAGAAGAAGUACACAGUAACUAGUUGGCUGAAAGAGCCGAAUAAAUGAAAUACACAAUGACUGGUCGGCUGAAAGAGCCGAAUGUCUAAAUAUAUAUAUAUUAAUAAAACAAAGUGUGCCUGAAGGGCAUACAGACUCUGCAAAUAUGUAGUUUACAACGGAGUGAUGCCCGUAAGGCAGACAGACUCCAGGGUUCUACUUAAAAACUACUCCUAGGAAAGCAGUAAAUGCGAAAAAAAAGGAUUACAUUUAGACUACUCCUAGAAAAGCAAUAAAAUUGCAAGAAAAAUAGGGUGGUCUUCUCGUUCAGGGGGGAGAAAGACCCUUCUUGCAGGUUUUAAAAUUACUAUUUAUAGUAACAUCAACCCACAUUAUUGGUUGGUUGAGGGAGUGGUUGUAACCAUGAUCGCGGAAGUUACGCCUCACUUCUCAUGAAAGUUACGUCCCACUUCACAUGGAAGUUAUGCCCCACUUCACAUGGAAGUUACGUCACACUUCUCAACUGUUGCCGCCUAAACGCUCUUGGCCUUCAGGCGCCUUAUCGCCGACUCCUGGUGUACCACGUGUCCUUAUUUCUUCGGCUCAUAUGUGGACUAGGUCGGCGUGUUUAUUUCAAAUUUGGCAUCAACAGUGGCAUUAUCUAAAAUUAAUUAAAGAAAUAAAUAAAUUAAUUGUAUGUUUUUUUGUAAACUUAAAUAACAUGACUAAAUAAUAUAACCGUGCGAACCAAACACAGGAAUAACACAUUCUUAGUAAUAGGAUGAAUAGGAAUAAGAUUCUCGGACAUCUUUUUAUUACUAGUAAUCUUUCAUAGUGCGAACCAAACGCACCCUAAAGCAAAUUUAAAGCACUUCUCUACAGAAGCCUAUUUUGCGUGAUCAGAAGGAUGUUAAAACUAAGGAUUAAAGUGCCGUGACACGGAGUCGUGCGGAAAACUUGUCAGUACGGUACGGUACGGUACGGCACGGCACGGUACAUGCUAGAUCGUGCCGAUACGUGCCUGUCACAAAUAAUUCAAGCGUACCGACACAUAAUAGUAUGAAAUAUUUAUUUUCUUUAGUAAAAAAAUAUUUUAACUGUUUAUAUCAAAUCUUUUGAACUUUAUUAAAAAAAUUACGUACUAAUUUAAAGAAUAGAAGGUUUUGAGCUGUGCUAUCGGUACAACGGCUAUAUCAUACUGAUGUCUUGUUGGCACGAUACAUUAUGGUACAUACGAUUCGUACCAAUGGACACUUAAAUACCUAGUUAACACUAUCUAUUCUACAUAGCGGUUGUUAGUGGACCUAAUAUGAUGCAUAAAUUUCACAAGAAAAAUGCAUAAACAAUACAAAAUUAAUUUGGUAGGUUGAGGUUUCAAACAUAUAUCGCAUCAUCAUUGGAAGGAAAUAUUUGAAAAAAAAAAAAUAGGGAAAUAUAAUAUUAUCAAUUUUCAUAUGUAGUAGCGUACCAAAUACCAUUUCUAUAAUUAAUAGUGAAGUUCUAGAAACCGAGUCAAACAAGAAUACAAUGCACUUUGGAAAGCUUUAUUUUUUUAAAAAAAUCUUUUUCGAAUUUCUACCAUCUUAUUCUCAGAAAAAAUAUUUAAAAACAUGUUUUAUGAGACAACUCUACCAAAAAAAUAACUUUUGCAAAAGCUCUACUGAGACAUUUAAGUAGGCCUUGAGAUUCAGAAGCUCGCAAUAUUUGUACCCUCCAUCCAUCACUACUACAACUUGAACAAAGCAUGCAUCUAAUAAAAGCUCAAGCUCUUCUUGUCACACUUUUUUAGAUUGGCAUAUACUCGUUGUAACAUUUUGGAAUUUGAAAUAGACACCUUAUAUAUAAGAUAUAAUUGGACUAAGCAUUUUAAACCGUUUAUAAAAUUUUAGGUGGUAGUUAGUCGGUCAAGAGAUUGAGAGGGUUGAGCAUGCUAGAACUAGAGUAGUUCUAGGAUAUUAACUUCUUGAGAAGUAGAGUGUUACAGUUAGUAUCAGAGCAAAUUACCAGCCGAAAGUGUGAGAUGGGUCUCUGUUGAGCUAGGAUCAUACGGUGGUUAGAGCGCGACUCUCCACUUCUAUAUAUGAGAUAUGAUAGGACUAAAUUAACUUCUUAACCUAAGAUGGGCGACGGCGUCACACUUGAUCAUCUCCUCUUUUAUUUGAUUAGAAUUUUAUAUAUCUAAUCGCAAAGUAGCAUCAUUCAUAUUAUGUUUGGGUUGUGAUAUUCCACAUUCAUAUUAUGUUAAUGGAAAAAUCUAAAUUUUUUUUUCUUAAUUUCUUCCCCAUCAUUCAUAUUCUUCAUGGCUGUAGAUUCUCUUAGAACUUGGAAUCCUUUUGCGUUGUGAUAUUCCACAUUCUUGAAGCAUAUUAUGUUAGGGUUAUUUGGCAAUGCAAGAUGAUGCUCCACGUACGUUCUUGGAGCAUAUUAUAUAUGUUGGGGUUAUUUGGCAAUGCCAGUUACUCUCUUGGUCUAGCUCCUUGAAAGUAUAUAUUUGGCAAUGCCAUUUACUUAAUUUCUAUUAAUUAACCAUUAAAGAUAAUCAAAUACUAGGCGGUUGAUGACAAAAAUUCAUAAAAACUAGAAACUAGAAAGUUCAAACAAUCUAGAUCAAUUUCGACGGUACCGAUCUUCGAUUUAGAUAUUUUAGGCCUCCCAAAAUGUCUUUACUAUAUCAUUACAAGUAGGGAUACAAAUGGGGCGGAUCUGCAGAUGGGAGCCCCACCCCACCUCCCGCCCCGAAUCCUUGACGGAUUAAAAAAUAUAUCCCACGCCAUAAUCCGUCUUGCCAAUUAAUAUAUAUUUUUUUAAAUUAUAAUAUAAUUAAUACUUUGUAAAAUAUAAAUUAAUAAAUUUUUAAUAAUAAUGAAUAACAUUACUAAUUAUAUAUAAAAUUAACAAUAUUAAUUAUAAAAAUAAAAAAUAUCAAUCGCAAUUUGAAGCAAAAUACAAAAAUUUCAAAUACAUGAGAAAUGAGAGCGUCAAUUUAUUUGUAUUUUGGAUUUUUUUUAAUAAAUAUAUUAUUUUUUAGAGAUAUUUUCUUAAAAUACAAAUAUUUUUCGGAGCGGAUCAUGGCAUGGAUUCGAAGCGGGUCAAAACUUUUUCCAUUUUCUGUCCUGAAUUUGUCUCGAAUCAUAAAAAUUAUCCCAUUUUUUGCUCCAAAUUUAUUUAUUUCUUUUCGUUUACUGCCCCAUUUGGGACAAAUCGGGACAGGAGCUAUACCAACCCGGAUCCGUUUGCAUCCCUAGUUACGAGGGAAGCUGAUACUACAGUGUUCAAGUUUUUUAGUGCACACUCAGAAAUUUAAACUCCCAACUUUCUAGCUUGAUAACAACUCAGGUAACAACAACAGUACUUAGUUAUUGAGUUAUUGUAGCCAAAUGCAUGCGAGCCUUAAUUAACAGUAGUGAAGGCCCGCGCUACGUGGCGAAAAAUUUAUAUAAAUUUUAAAAUAUUUUAAAUUAUAGUAAAUAGAAGAACUAUACUUCAAAAAAAAAAUAAAAGUUGUUAUGAGAGGUUCAAUGUUUGUCUCCACAAUCUUUAUCAACAUCACCUAAAUUGCAAAGUCAGUAAUAUAAGAUUACCAUUUGUAAAACAUCAAAUACUAAAUUUUUAUUUUUAUUUUUAUUUUUUGUAUGUGAUCUACAACCCUACAAAAUAAAAAAAAAGUUAAAAAAGGAAAAAAAGAAGAAAAAAAAUUGUUUGUCUCACAGAGAAAAAAAAAAAAAAACCUGCACCGCGCCGGCUCGGGCCCGCGCCCGCUCCCUUCCGCCCGCAAUCCAUCGAAAUAAGGAGAUAUUCGAUUUAAAAUUUAAAUUUCAAUUUAAAAUCAAAUUUUAAAUUUUAAAUUUAAUUUUUAUUUUUUGUAUGUGACCACAAACAUACAAAAUAAAAAAAAUAGAAAGAGAAAAAAGGGGGAAAAAAGUUAGAAAAGAGAAAAAAGAAAAAGAAAAAAAGAGCCAUACAAAAAAAAAUAGUUAGAAAAAAAAAGUUAAAAAUCUCCCCCCCCCCCCCCCCCCCCCUCUCUCUCUCUCUCUCUCUCUCUCUCUCUCUCUCUCUCUAUUGCGAUAUAACCACAUUUUUUUUAAUCCCGAUAAACAAAGUAUUUUAACUCCACCAGUUAAUACUUAAUUACAAUGUAUUCUUAACAGCUCAUUUUAAUUAACUUUCCGUCGCAGCAAAAACUCUAAAUUAUUAAUUUAUUUGGGCUACAUUACAGAAAAUAACUUUGUAAAUUUCUGCUUUUUUAUUUUGCUUUCCUGACUUUCAAAAAUUUAUAUUUGCCAACUUAAAAUUUUAGAAAUGUUUUCAAGAAGGUAUUGCGUUAAUACAGUCGACAAAAUGAUCAAAUUGCUCUUUCUUUUUCUAUAAGAAAAUUUUUUUUUUAAUAUAUUUAUAUUAUUUUGAAGGACAUUUUCGAUAUAAAUUAUAAAAAAUAGAUGGAAUAUUAAUGGAAUCAUGACGGAAGGGCGGCUAAAUGCAACAAUCUGAAAUGUCGAGAGGUAAACGUAGGUUUUCGAAAGUUAGGGAAGAAAAGUGAAAAAAGCUGAUAUUUACUGGAAGGAUUUCUAUAAUUUAGCCAUUUAUUUGCUAAAUACUCUCCUUGGGAUAGUUAUGGUUAAGUCACCAAUAUCCACUUGUAAUUAAAGUCAUGAAAAAAUCAAAUGCAUUAUAGUGAUGUAAACAUUUGUUAACUUUUGCAGGUGCCUAGCUAAUGGAUGUGGCAGCUUAUUGGGAGCCUUACAACUGAUCCUAUAUACGCUAUUUAUAGGAACCACAAACACAAAGGAGAUGGACCCACCAAACGAGACUUGAUCCAGUUGACCGAGCCCAAGUCCAACAUAGAAUACACACAAAGCAUGGACAUAAUAAAUAACCAAAUCCACCAGACCACCACCAAGUAGAUAAUCAAGCGUAGAAAAAAAAAAAAAAGUUAAAAAUUUAUGCUAAGUUUUUUUUUUUUACUUAUUUUUGUUAUGGUAGAAUUAAGAGGAGUAUUUGUGGGAAUCCAUUUGAUCUAAUAUUUAAAUGGGUCCUUUUUUAGUUCUUUUGAGUCAAAUUGAGCCGAGUGACCCAUUUUGGAUCAAGUGAGUCAAGUAGGGCUCUAUGAGUCUAGUUAGGUAAAGAAAAUAAAAUAGAGUUAAAUAGAGAGUCAAGGAGAGGGAAAAAUUAGCUUCUUCAUUUCAUUCUAUUGUGUGGUGUCUCUCUCAAGAGUGAGAGAGGUGUGAAAUAGGAUCCACAAGCUUUCUAUUUUCGUUUAUUUUAUUAAUAAAUAAACUUAGCUGGAAAUGUUAGUCGAGUAGGAUUCGAACUUGGGAUCUCAGAUACCAAUCACCAAACUCUUUACCACUUACGCUAGGGACUGUUGAUGUUUUGAUAUUAUUGUUGAAGGUGAUCGAAUGUUUAUUUGAAGUUUUUGAGAUUGUCAAUGUAAGCUUCUUAUUACUUUGUUCUUGUUUUUGAUAGUGGUUGUGUGAUCUUCACUGUGUAUAAAUUAUAAAACUAAAGUUUCAGUUUCUAUAAAUACGAAGAAAAGGGUGUGCUCAAAUUUGAGCUGUCUCAUAUACAUACUUAUCUUUUUUUAGAAACAAGAGUUUAGUUUUGGGUUUAAGUUGCUCGUACUUCUGUUAGGUUACUUGGUAUAUAUUUGUAACAAUCUUGGUAGAAAAAUGUGCCUUUGGGAAAUUAAUCCCAAAUCAUGUUAAAAAUUGAAUGAAAAAGGAAAAUCCGUAGCUACUCUAGCUAGUGUAAGAAGAAUGCAAAGUUUGUGUUUGUCUCUAGCUAGCUGUGAAGAGAAUUCAAAGUUGGCAUUUGUCUUGCCUAGCUUUUCAAAAAAUUAAAUACCUUCUAGUGCCAUAGUAUUUUAUAAACAAAAAAUAUAGUAAUGUCUUUGCUAUAUUAUAUGGACGUGACAUUUUAGGUUCUAAAAGUAAAAGCUCUAUUCUGUAGCUCGGUUAUGAGAUUUUUUUUUUUUUUGAAAAAGUUGUAGUGGUAAAUAGUUAUUUCUUUUUAUAACUUAAUAAUCUUGGGAGGUCGAAAAUAAAUAUAAAGAAAUUAAUUACACGAGACAAGAAGCUAAGGCUUGAAAAUAUCUAUCUUUCUUUGUUUCUAAAAUAAAAACUCUAUAUGAUUGGAUAUGUCAAAAAGUAAAUGCCAUGACCCAAACCUUCUUCAUUUAGGUUGUGACCGCCAUGCUUUCAUAUGAUUAAAGUCUGAAAUUCAAAUUUGAAUCAUAUGAAAAUGCAAUGUUUAAGGAAAAAAAAUAGCACCUAGUAGUGAGUUAUUCUAACGAGAGAAACUUAUAAAAGUGAUCCACACUUGUAACCUUGAGUGAUCUUAAUUAUGUGAUGAAAAAGUUGGUAUAAUCGUCUUGUUGCUUACUUAUCAAAGCAUCCUACGUACGGUGAAUAUAUAUCCAAUAUCUCUGGGCUUGAGGAGUUGGCGGGAACGUAGGCAGAGUGCUGAAUAUCGAAAAAAGUCGAUCGCAUGCUUACAUUUGAAUUUAUAAAGAAAAUUAAGUUCAAACAUUCAAAUGUAUAAACUUUAGAAUUAGAAAAUAGGAUAAGAGGGUUGCGGACUCACAGUGAACUUCUUUAUACUAGCUUGGAAUUAAUGCAAUUAAUUUGGUCCGAUAUUAAAAGGUAUCUUCAUUAAAAAAAAAAAAAAAAUCCAACAAAGGGAAAAAGAUUACUGCUUUCGUGAAUAAAGUUGUUCUUCGAUUAUCAUUUCAACUAAAAAUAAUAAUUUUGUCACUAAGUACUAUCUUUUAUGGUUCGAUGCAAUUCAAUUUUAUCGGCCAGAGAUGCAGCUGUUAUAUGAAACCUUUCUUGAAAAGAACACUUUAAUUCAUUUUCAUUUUCUUCAGCUGCGAUGUGAGGGGCACCUUUUUUUCUACUGCUGAAAUUUGCGUCGUUGAUGAAGAAAUCUAAUCUUAGGAAGCAAUUUUUCUUCAGCCGCGAGGUGCGGAAUACCCCUUUUUUCUUUUUUUUUUUUUUUUUUUUUUUUUUUUUUUUUUUUUUUUUCCUACUGCUGAAAAUUGUGUUGUUGGAGGGAUUUGUGACAGAGAUUGGUAAAAAAACACAUGCAGUGAAUUUUCAUGCAUAUAUUUUUGUUCAAAGGGCGUGCCAAUGAAGAAUGUUCUACCAGUUACUUGUCGUCAUUGGGCGAAACUACUUACUCUAAUAGCACGUUUGGUUCAAAAUAGGAAUCGAAAUUAAAAUAAGUUGAGCUGAAAUGCUGAUCAAUAGCAAACAGGCUGCAUUAUUACCGAUUUAUUUUUCGAUAAUGAAGUCUUCAAAUCAACGAUCGGCACUGUUGAACAUGAUUUACCACUUUAUAUUUUUAGAAACUAAAUUUUAAACCUUUUUGAUAUCAUUGACCUAAUGAUAAAAAAAUUGCAGAUUUUGUAAUUUUAAUGGUCGAUAUAAGAUGUUUUCAAAUUUAACAGCGUAAAGGUAUCUAAAUUAAUCGAAUUUUGAUUAGAAAAUUUCUUAAACCAUUUAAAACAAGAUUUAUACUCUUAAUCUUGAUUACAAGACUUCUAUCAUUAACAUUUUAAGAAUACUCAUUUUCAGCUAUUCAUUUUUGUGACCACUUGAUGGAUAAUAGAAUAAUAUCAAAAAAAUAGAAAAUUUGAUUUUUAGAUAGUUUAAAUGGAUUACGUCAUAUUUAAUAGUGUUAAUCGUCAAUUUGAAAGUUUCAUCAUCAAAAACAAAUGAUAACAACGGAUAGUAUCCCGGCUUAACUACGACCCGAAUCUCAAGCACCCCAAACUCCUUAUCCCCUUGCAGGCUACAUAUUUCGUAACAAAAAGUGUACAAAGCAAACACCAAGGAUUAAAGUGCCCAUCGGCACAGACCGUAUCUACUGUAUCGUAUCGUGCCAGUAAGAUAUUGGCAUGAUACAGUUCUUGUACCGAUGGCACAAUUCAAAACCCUCUAUUCUUGAAAUUACUAGGUAAUUUUCUCAAUAAAGUUAAAAAAAUUGAUAAAAUUACAUAAUAAAUAUUUGGCAUAUUUUUUUACUAAAAAAAAUAAAUAUUUCAUGCCAUUAUGUGUCGGUAUAUAUAUAUUUUUUGUGACCGAUACGCAUCGACACGACCUAGCACGCAUCGGGCCGUAUCGUGCCGGCAAGUUUCGGCACAACCCGUGCGACGAUACUUAAAUUCUUAACAAACAAUUUUUUAGAUUCACUUUGGGAUCUUACAUUCAGUAUAACAAUAAAAAUAGAAAAGUCUUUGACUUUUAUCGCUUGGUUUGGAAUCAUUUCAAGGAUUCAUAGAUAGCAAUCAGAAAAUAUUAGGAUGGAUGCAUUAGACGGGCACCUUCAUUAACUUAUUUCUUUUUCCAUUUUAUUUGAUAUAAUAGUAGAGCUAUUCCAGUCAAAUUGUCUAAAAUUUCAUUUCUUUCAUAAAGAAAACUUCAAUGCAUAUUUUAUUAAAAGGGUUAAUUUCAUACAAGUUCCUACAAAAAUAGUGGAUGAUAAAUAUAUUACUACAAAAUUCAACUUUUAUAUAUUAUCACUACAAAUGUCCUGAUGUUUUCAAAUAUGUCUCUUUAGUUUGUUAUCGUUAGACAACUGUUUAUAUUUUUAAUUUUCGCCAUCACAAAUAUGUUUCUCUGAAGGUCACAACAGUUUAAUGUAAAAGGGGUAAAAAUAUCAAAAACUAACCAGAGUUUAGUAUUUAACCUAUGGAGGUCGGCGAGUGUCUAUGCUUCUUCAAGUACCAGUUCUUUGCAUAGUCUGUUCCACUUUAGCCGCUUUCAAAAGUCCAGUGUCUUGUUUUUCUCUUCCAGAAGAGUUACGAAGGAGAUGGCGAGGUCAAGCAGCGAUACUACGUAUAACUAAACGACAGAGAUAUAUUUGAAAAUAUCAAGGCUUUUGUAAGGAUAGCAUAUGAAAGUUGAAAUUUGUAGAGAUAUAUUUACCAUUCACUAUAUUUGUAGGGACCUGUAUGCAAUUAACCUUUUAUUAAAAUGAUUGAAUCAACUUGGAAGCUACCCAAGCUAUAUAUAGCUUAAAAUAUCCUUCUGCAUGUUACAUACUCCCCAAAAUUCUAAUUUUCAAUUAUUAUAAAAUUAUAAUUUUUUAAAAAAAUUUAAAUUCAAAGGGAUAGAUUUACAAACCUUGAAUUUUAUUAUUAAAAUUCAGAAAAAAUAAAAUUAAAUCUAAGGGAUAAGACCACAGGCCAUGAAUUUAGAAUUGUAAUCCUUUGAUUUUUUUUUUUUUUUUUUUUUUUCAGAUUGUAGACUUAUUAGCAUUUCUCAUAUUUUAAUAUUCAUGUCAAGCAAUUUUUUUUUAUUGGAGCAAUUGCUUAUAUACUCCUAAAAAGUUUCAGACUUUAUUAUUUAUCUCUAAGGUUAAUAUAAAAAAUACAUUUUUAAUGAGUUAAAUUAUGUUAGUGAAUUAUUAGUAACAAUCGUCAUUUCUGUAAAAUUAAUAUUUUACCCUUCCAAAUAUAUCUUUUUAUCAUGAUCAACUUUUUUUAUUUGUCCUUAAAUUUAGGGUAAAGAAAGUAUUUUUUUCUUUUUGCCUGUUCAGAUAUACCUUUCUUUGGGCACAAACUUUUCUCCUUUUUUUUGUUUAGUUAGGGAUAAAAAAUAUAUUUUGAUUUCCUUUUAGGGCAUGUUUGGUUGCUUGAAAGUGAGUGAAGUGAAAAAAUUAACUUUUACAAAAGUAACUUUUUAGUUCGAUUGUUUGGUUGGCUAUAAAGUAAAAAAUUAAAACUAUAAUUUUGUAAUUUUGAUUAUUAAAUUAUAUAUAAAGAGGUGAAAAAUAUAAACAAACGACUUAUGUUCGCAAUGUAAAUUAAAAAUUUUAAUUUUAAUUUAUAUUUAUAAUUUAAAAUUAUAUUUUAAAAUAUAAAUUUAAAUUUAAAUCUGAAUUCGUAAUUUGAAAAAUUUAUAUGUAUUUAUCAAAAAACAAAAUAUUUAUUAUCUUAUAUUAUAUUGCAUAAAAAAGUAAAAUAAAAAUAUGUGAAUUUUUUCUAAAAUUGUUUGCACUAUAGAUCGGCAUUGAACGCGUGUCUAACUAGUGUACACAUCGGACACGUGUCCGACACAGACAUGCGCGUGUCCGAUACGGACACGCGAGAUUUAUAAAAGUGUCCGUCAUAUAUAGUUUGAAACAUGAAAUAUACCAAAUAAUUUGUUUAUCAAAGCCGUUAUAUGAUGAUCGAUAUGCUAACUCAACCAUUCUAUAUUUUUAUGCUUUGAAAAGUCUGAAAAAUCUAAAAGUCCUCUUAGCAUUCUCUUUAGGGUGCGUUUGGUUCGCAUUAUGAAAGAUUAUUAGGAAUAAAAAGAUAUCCGAGAAUUUUAUUCCUAUUCAUUCUAUUACUAAGAAUGUGGAAUUCCUGUAUUUGGUUCGCACGGUAAUAUUAAUUAACCAUGUUAUUUAAUAUUACAAAAAAUAUACAAUUAAUUAAUUAAUUUAUUUAUUUAAUUUUAGAUAAUGUUAUCAAAAGUUUCAACAUCUUUUUAGAAAAAAUGGAAAGAGAGUAUAAGUUAGAGAGAAAGAGCAUAAUUAAAAAAAUAGAAAGAAAAAUAUAGUCGAAAUUAGAGGGAGUGAGAGAGUUGAAAUUUUAGAAAGAGAGAGAGAGAGAAAGCUUAGUUUAGAGAGAGAAAAAAAAGUUUAGAGAGAGAUAUAAGGUUAGAGUGUAAAGAAAAAUAAUAUCAAUUAGCGGGUGGGUAAGAAGAAAAAAAUAGAUUAGACAUAUUAUGAUUACCCCAAUCUAUUAAUAUAAGGAUACCCACCUUCCCUCAAGAGAAUGAGAUUAGUACUUUGGGGUGAAUCUUAUUCCCAAGUAAAUCCAGUAUUACCAAUUAGAUUACUUAGUGCGUUUACCUAAAUUCCGUCAUAUUUUUUUAUUUUUAUUGGAUUAGUAGGAAUCUUUAAAAGAUAGCGCGAACCAAACGCACCCUUAAUGUUAUGAAGUUGCCAAAGACGACCGUCAUCGCAGAAACAUGCAACUACAUAUUCUAUUACUAGAAAUUCAGGACCGGUAAUAAAAAGAGGCACUUAAUUUCUACCACUCGAAGUUUUUUUUUUUCAAGUAAAAUUUUAUUACUAAAUUUGAACAGAGUGAGCUGGUUUUAUAUAUAGGGUUUACGUCAUAUACUACAGCAAAAUGACUUGUAAAAUUUCAGAACGAAUUGAAGUCCCUUAAUUCGUUUUGCUCUCGUUUAAUAUUCAUUGCACACAAAUGUAGAUCCCAAUUAAUUCUUCAUCAACUCGAGCUUGGUUCCUCCCUACUCCUACUCAAUUUAACAAAAAUAAAUAAAAUUAAUACUUCAUGUAGGUGGAGGAGAGGGAGAGAGUUCUCACUUCUUUUACUUUUCUUUCAGUUAAAAUAUAUAGAAAAAUUAAAAAACUUCAGAUAUCCCUUGUGGUUUAUCGAAUAUUCAAUUUAGUAUCUUGUGGUUUAUGAAAUUUUAUUUUAGUGUCAUGUAAUUUUACUUUUCUUAUUGAUUUAACGAAAAAAUUAACGGAGAGGAUAACGAAAAGAGCAAAAUGAAUCCACAAGGUACAAAAAUGAUACAAUUUAAACCACAAGACACUAAAGUGAGAAAACGCUGAACCGCAGGGAUGAUAUUUGAUGUUUUUCGUAUUUUGAAACUCAGUACUCCCAAACAAUCCCUCCAAGAGACUAACCCUCCAUUAAUAUCUUGGUCAGCUUUUGAGUAUCUAAAUACCAAAUUUUGUAUUGAUAUAGGGUUUAAUAAUUUCCUUUGCGGAAAAAAAAAAAAAAAAGAAACGAUUUUCACUAGGCUUGUUUACACUGGCACGAUACUUUAGUAUUAUUUUUAUUUAUUACAUUGUAUUGUCUUUUUUUUAAAAACAGAUACCAUUACAUUAUUUAUUUUAUUAAUUUUUACACUGUAAUUUAGGUUUAUUUUUAAUUUUCUAUUUUGUAUUAUUUUCUUUCCUCGUAGAUAUCACUAAACUAUUUUUUCUCUCCAAGAUUUAUAUUACCAUUAAGAAAUCUAUUAUUUUAGAUAAAAUCUAAUAACUUUAUUAGGAGAUGCUGAAUAAAUAGCAGACAAAAUAUAAAAUAAAUCUUCUUGGUAGACUUAUUAAAAAAAUUUAUCAAGUAAAUUUUCAUUGUCUUUUGUUAUUUUUAUAUAUUUUGUUAUUUUUCACAUCAAAAUGAAACAUUGAAAAUAUGCUCCAUCAUUUCUAACCUAUUUUUUAACAGUUUUUAUAUAAAAUUAUAAAUUUAUUGUAACAGUAUAAGAUAGAAUAAUUAAUUGAACUUAAAAAGUCCAUCACUUCUAUCAGCUAAUUUGGAAUCAUUUUACGAACUCUUAGAUUCGAUACAGUACUGUAAUACAAUUAAGAUGGAUGCAACAGACGAGUACCUUCGCGGAAUUUUGUCCCCUUAAUUUAAUAAUAAUAUCGAGCUCUUCCGUUCAAGUUGCCUCAAAUUUCUUUUCUUUCUCCGAGAAAACUUUGAUGAAUAUUAUUAUUUUUGUCAUAAAAUUAUUAUUUUCAAUACAGUUUUGGCUCCUUUUAACUUGAUAUCUAUCUAACUAUAUAUAAAAGCGUAUAGGAAUUCCGACAAUGACAGUUGGAAUCCAAAAAGAAAUAAAAUAAUAUUACCUACGAAUGGUUAUGAUUAAUUUAUUAAAAAUAUCUCAAAUCAAUAAGAACGGUUAUGAUCAGUCUAUUAAAUCUCUACUAUAUAAAAAUAUAUUCUCUACAAAUGCUUAUGAUCAAUUUAUUAAAAAAAAAUCUCAAAUAAAAACAGUUAUGAUCAAUUUAUUAAAAAAUAGCAUUUCUACCAUCUAUAAAUUUAAUCCUACGAGCGAUUAUAAUCAAUUUGUUAUAAAAUAUCUCAAAUAAAAACAAACUGUUACGAUCAAUUUGUAAAAAAAUAACAUUCCUAUUUAUCUAUUUUACAUUAAAAUUUGAGUUUAAAUUAUGAAUUAAAUUUAAUUUUUGAUAUCAAAUUUAAAUUAACAAUUAAUUUUUUUAUUACAGUGGAUCAAUCUUAAAUUUUUAAAUUUGAAAAUAAAUAUAAAUUAAAUUUUGAUGUAUUUAGUUUAAAACACAUAUUUAAAUUUAAUUCAUUAAAAAUCAAAAAGUAUAUAAAAAUGUUAGAUGUAUAUAAAAAAAAGAACAUGUAGGAUAUUGUAAAUACUUUCUAAUAAAAUAUAAUAUGUUAAUUUAUAAAUAUAGUUUUUAUUAUAAAAUUUUGGAUUUAUAUAAUGUACACAUUUAUAUUGGUUUGAAAUAUAUUAUAAUAAUUAAUUGUUACGUGCAUUUGCACGUACAUUCAACUAGUAUAGUUCAAAAGGAUGCAUGUGUCAAAAUUUGGUACGUAACAUAUAUAGAUGGUUAUCUACGCUUUCCUCCUUUUAAUAUUUUCUUGACUUUACUGACCGUCCCUGACGCAAGUGGCAAAGUAUUUAGUGGUUGGUAUUCAAAAUUCAAAGUUCGAACUCUAGUUGAUUCAUAAUUUCAGCCAAGUUUAUUUCUAAAUAAAACAAACAAAACGAAUACACAUUACUUUUCUCUAAUAUAUAUAUAUAGAGAGAGAGAGUCCGGCUGGGAUACUAUCGAUAGCACCAAUUUAUUGGUACUAUUAGUUUUUUAACCCUUAGAUUUAGCCCCUUGAUUAUUUUUAUCCGUUAGAUUAUACUAUUCAACUAACCACCUACUCAACUCUAGGGGAUCCACAUCAUUCUAGCCGCACAUUUCUCAAUCUAAGGAUUAAAAAACUAAUAGCACCAAUAUAUAUAUAUAUAUAUAUAUAUAUAGAGCUAGGCUGGUAUACUAUCGGUAGCACAGAGGUCUCCGUGCUACCAAGUUGUUUUCAAUGAUGCGGCUUCCAAAUCGAUGAUCGUCUCCGUUAGACUUGAUCUACACUAUUAAAAGUAUUUGGAAACCAAAUUUCAUAAUUUUUCGGCAUCAUUUACCUAUCAAACGAGUAGUCUAGAAAUCAACGGCUGAAAAUAAAAAUCUCAUAAAAAAUAAUGAUAAAAGACUUGAAUUUAAGAUCAGAGGUAUUGAUCUUACUUUAAAUAGUGAAAAAAAUUUUCUAUAAAAAUUUCAUCAGAUUUGGAUUGUUUUACACCGUUAAAUUCACAAACUCAUCACAUCUACCAUUAAAAUUGUCCAAUUUUGAGAUCUUGUAUCACAGCGAAAAUGAUGCCGAAAAAUUAUGAAAUUUAGUUUUCAAAAUACUUUAAUAGUAUAGAAUCAAGUCACGGACCGAUCGUCGAUUUGGAAGCCGCAUCAUUGAAAAAUCAACUUGGUAGCACGGAGGACCUUUUGUGCUACGAUUAUUCAACCAGGCCAUAAUCCUUAGCUAUUAUUCUAUAUAUAUAUAUUAUAUCAUAUAUAUAUAUGAGCUUAGAAUUAUUUUAGAAGUACCCUUUUGGUGCUUCUAAGUUUUUAAGGUCUUAAUCAAAACCGUCUUCCACCGUAGCACCACCUGAACCACUAUCAUUCCAACCCGAUACCAUUUCUUACUCCAAAGACUAAAAAACUCAAAAGCACUACCUCUUAGGUGCGUUCGGAAGCGUUUGAAAAAUUUUAGGCUACUUAAUAUAUAUAUUAUAUAUAAUAAUAUAAUAUAGGGUACUAUUAUAGAGAGAGAGAGAGAGAGAGAGAGCAGGGAGAGAGAGAGAGAGAGACUGGAGGGGACGACGACAAGCGGACAGAGGAGAAAGAGAUGAGGAGGAAGAGGGCGUCAGGAUUGGCGCGUUGAAGGAGUGGCGAGAUCGCGGGAGGGGAGGGAGCGUUCGGAGAGGCGGGGGGGAGGGGGGCAAAGAAGGGAAAACGGACAGAGGAGGGGGGAGGCGGAAGGGGGGGGCACAGGCAGAAGAGCUACAGCGAGGCGCAGAUGUGGGAGGGGACGGGAGAAGAUGAGGGAGAGAGAUGAGUGAGCGCUACUAUGCUAUCAGAAACACGGAGCCUUCCGUGCUUCCAGCUCGUUUCGAUGUUGCGACUUUCGAAUCGUCGAUCGGGCUGCCUUUAAACUUGAUCUAGAGUAUUUUAAGUACUAGAAAAUAAAUUUUAUGAUUUUACGAUAUCAUUUGCCUAGUGAACGAAGGGGGCUCAAAAUCAACGGCUGAAAUAAAAUCUUACAAAAUUAAUAAUAUGACAUUAAAAUUUUAAAUCAAAGAUAUUGAUCCUGUUUAUGUAGUAUAAAGAAUUUUCUAUCAAAAUUUCAGGUGAAUUAGAUUUUCUAUACGUUAAACUUGCAAACGGUCACUACGGCCAUUGAAAUUUGUUGAUUUGAGUCCCUUCGUUCACUAGCAAUGAUAUCGUAAAAUUAUUAAUUUAUUUUCUAGGGUACUCCAAAUACUCUAGAUCAAGUUUAACGGAGCCGAUCGACGAUUCGAAAGUCGCAACAUCGAAACGAGCUGGGGCCUUCUCCGUCUUCCGAUAGCAUCUUAGCUCACUCUAUAUAUAUUAUAUAUAUAUAUAUAUAUUUAAAGAGAGGAGGAGAGGGAGGAGCCAUUCUGUUAAACCGGCGGAAUCAGGGUGGCGGUCGAGAAGAGAGGAGAGAGAGAGACGAUGAUUAGGAUCUGGUAUGCUUCUGGAAGCACGGAGCGCUCCGUGCUUCCAAGUUGUUUUCGAUAUUCGGACUUUCGAAUCGACGAUCGACUCUGUUAGACUUGAUCUAGAAUAUUUGAAGUAUCAAGAAAAUAAAUUUUGUGAUUUUUCGAUAUCAUUUGCCUAGUAAUUGAAGUGGCUCAAAAUCAACGGCUAAAAAUAAAAAUCUUACAAAUUAUGAUGAUAUGACAUUAAAAUUUUAGAUCAAAGUUAUUGAUCUUGUUUUAUAUGGUAUAAAGAAUUUUCUAUCAAAAUUUCAUGUGAUGUGGAUAUUUCUACACCGUUAAACUUGCAAACGGUUCACCACGGCCAUUAAAAUUAUUGAUUUUGAGCCCCUUCGAUCACUAGGCAAAUGAUAUCGAAAAAUCGCAAAAUUUAUUUUCUAGGUACUUCAAAUACUCUAGAUCAAGUCUAACGGAGCCGAUCGUCGAUUCGAAAGUCCGAACAUCGAAAACAACUUGAAAGCAUGGAGGGCUCCGUGUUUCCAGAAGCAUACUAGCCCACUCUCUCUCUCUCUCUCUCUCUCUCUCUCUCUCUCUAUAUAUAUAUAUAGUACGUCUCCUGUACUUUCGAAAGUACGGAGGUCUUCAUGCUUGUAAGUUGUUUUCAAUGAUAGGACAUCCGAUUCGACGAUCGACUCCGUUAGACAUGAUCUAUGUUAUUGAAACUAUCUAGAAAUCAAAUUUCAUAAUUUUUCGACAUUAUUUACUACGUGAUCAAAAGGUUUCAAAAAUAACUAUUUUAACGGUUAAUGUGGUACGUUUUUAAGUUCAACGGUGUAAAACAAUCCAAUUACAUGAAGCUUUAAUGAAAAAUUCUGCUUAAUAUUAAUAGCAAGAUUAAUACUUCUGAUUUGAAAUUUGAGUCUUUUAUUACUAUUUUUUUUGAGAUUUUUAUUUUUAGCCGUUCAUUUUUAGGCUAUUUGUUUACUAGGCAAACGAAAUCAAAAAAUUAUGAAAUUUAGUUUCUAGAUAGUUCCAAUAGCGUAAAUCAUGUCUAACAGAAUCGAUCGCCGAAUCGAAUAUCUCAUCAUUACAAACAACUUAUAAGUACGGAGGCCUCAGUACUUUCGAAAGUAUAGGAGUCUCUCUCUCUCUCUCUCUCUCUCUCUCUCUCUCUCUCUCUCUCUCUCUCUCUCUCUCUAUAUAUAUAUAUAUAUAUAUAUAUAUAUAUAUAAUUGAGCUAGAAUACUUUUAGAAGCACCAACCCCGUGGUGUUUCUAAGUUUCUAGCCCUUGGAUCUACUCCUUAAUUACUAAUAGCCUUUGGAUCAAACACUAUUAAUUCCACCUACUACCACCUAUCACCAUCAUCUUAACCAUACAUCUCUCCAUUCAAUAGUUAAAAACUCAAAAGCAUCACCUUCAUGGUUGAUGCUUUUGAGAGUAUUCUAGCUCAACUAUAUAUAUAUAUAUAGAGAGAGAGAGAGAGAGUUGAGCUAGAAUACUAUCGAUAGCAAACGGACUUCGUUGCCACCAAUUUGUUUUCGAUGAUGGAGCUUCCAAAUUGACGAUCGGCACCGUUAAACAUGAUCUACACCACUUGAAGUGUUUUAGAAAUUAAAUUUUAUAUAUUUUCGAUAUUGUUUUCUUAUCCAUUGAGCGGACAUAAAAAUGAACAAGCUGAAAAUGAAUAUUCUUUAAGAAAUAAUGAUAGGAGUAUUGUAAUCAAGAUCAAGAGAAUAGAUCUUGUUUUAAAUAGUUAAAAAAAUUUUCUAACAAAAAUUUAAUUAAUUUGGAUAUCUUUACACUGUUAAACAAGAAAACGCUUCAUAUCGACCAUUAAAAUUAUAAAUUUUAAAACUCUUUGAUCAUUAGGCAAAUGAUGUCGAAAAGGUUUGAAAUUUGAUUUUCAAACACUUUAAGUGAUAUAAAUCAUAUUUAACAGUGCCGAUCGUCGAUUUGGAGACUCCAUCAUCGAAAAUAAAUGGGUGGCAACGGAGUUCGUUUAUUAUCGAUAGUAUUCUAGGUCAACUCUAUAUAUAUAUAUAUAUAUGUAUAUAUAUAUAUAUAUGUAUAUAUAUAUAUAUAUAUAUGUAUAUAUAUAUAUAUAUAUGUAUAUAUAUCUCUUUUCACGAUUUAUGUCAUACAGCAAUGCUAGGUUUAGAACCUAAAUGAGCAAUGCCAUUGCUUUGCUUAAUUUUCUCUAGCUUUGUAUUUGAAAAGAAAUGUUAACGCAUAUCCAAGACCUAUAUUUCGUUACUGGUUUUAUCAUUUUCUCUUUUUUCAUUAUUAUUAAACCCCUAAAAGAGUUUUUUAAAUUCUAAAGAAUAUAAUUACAACUCUAGAUUAAAGAUGUAAUACUACAACAUUUUUUUGGCUAUAAAUUAAGCAUUCUUUAUAGAGCAAUUAAUAUUAUCUGUACACUCCUACAUAUAUUAAUCCAAAGGCCAAUCUUUUUUUUUUUUUUCAAUAUUAAAACCUAAAUGUAUUUUCGUAAAUUCUAGAAUGCAUUGAAAAAAAGAUUUAUAACAGUUUGUACACUACAAAAAAAGUAAAAUUUAAGAAUAUUUUUUUAAUAUUUAAUAAUGUUUAAAAGCAUCCUAAUAUAAUCUAGUAUCAAAUUUGAUAGUGUCGAUCAAAGCAUCGGCAAAUAAAGAGUCGUCACAUAUAUAUCGAUGUUUAUGCCAAGCAUCGGUAAAAUAUACUUUGAUAUUUUAAAGCGGCAUAACUUUUUAAAAUCCUAACAUUUUAAAACAUGAAAAAAUUAAAAAUAAUAAUAAAAUUUUUUAUUUAAUAAAUAAUUAGUUUGAUACUGUAGAAAAUUUAUACGACGUUGUUCUUUGAAACAUCGCUAUUUACUAUAUUGUAGAAAAGUAUCUUAGCUAAAAAAACGUUCUUAUAUUGGAAUUUUUUUACAUAUAGAAUUUUCGGUUCCCGCAUUUGAAUAUUGGUGUCAUAUGAUGUAUAACCCAUUUGAAUACUGCGUUCUAAAGCACUUUAAAUGAUCCAUAAAUUUGCUAAACUGAUUAAGCUUCCAAUACAAGACAACCAAUAAUGGAAUCCCUUCUCUCUCCUGUGUGUCUUCUCCUCUUCUGUGUCGGUCUCUUCUUCUUUAUCAGAGUAGCUACAGAAUGGUUUGCCGGAUCCAAAGCCCGCGGCACGGCCCCCUCAUGCUCCUACGCCUCGGCCAGGUCGACGUCGCGGUCGCGUCCUCCCGCGAGGCCGCCGAGGAUGUAUUGAAGACCCACGACCUCAACUUCGCGUUUCGCCCCAUGCUCGCCGUCUCCAUGCUCUUCGAGCACGGCUUCGGCUUCUCCCCCUACGACAGCCACUAUAAGCACCUCCGCAAGGUCGCCGCUGUCGAGCUCUUCAGCAUCCGGCGUGUCCGGUCCUUCACCGCCGUCCGCGAAGAGCAGGUCCGCAACAUGAUCAACAACAUCAAAACGGCGGCACUUUCGCGAGCGCCGGUAAAACUAAGAGAGGAGCUCAUGUUGCUGUCGAACUCGAUCGUGUCCGUGGCAGCGGUCGGGAGGAGAUGCCGACAUGAGGGGAAGCUAGUGAAGCUCGCGAAGGAGACGGCGAGGCUGAUGUCGGGGUUCGCGAUUGCCGACCUGUUCCCGUCGCUUAAAUUCGUGGACGUGCUCACGGGGAUGAGGUCUAAGCUCGAGGGGGUGCGAAGAGAGCUCCAAGAGAUAUUGGAUAAGAUCAUAAGAGAUAAGGAGAUGUGCAAAGGCAAUGGAGGAGACGAGGACGCAACCAAGCAGGAGGAGGAUAUACUUGAUGUGCUCCUAAGGCUUAAGGAUGAUAACAACCAAGAGUUUCCAAUCACACUCAGUAACGUGAAAGUUGUGAUCCUGGUAAGUAAUUUGGUAUCUAAGAAGGUUAAUUAGGCCGAAUUUUAUUUAAGCGAGCCAAUCAUUUACUUCUAGGAUUGUAUUACACACACACACACAUAUGAAUUGAGCGCCUAUUCUUUUAAAAGCACCAAAUCAUUAGUGCUCGCAGAUUUUCGGUCUUCAGAUGAAAAUUUAUAGUAUUGAAAUAAUAGUAGUUUUCUUGAGUUUAGUGGAUGAUUAAUAAUAUGUAUAUGAAAGCUUAGUCAUGUGAGCCACAUGGAAGAGAGGGGCGGAGGCGCCGGCGCCGGCGUGAGGUUGCAGGUAUAUGGGGCCCAGCUGAAUUUGGGCCUAUUUUUUUUAUUAUUUUAUUUUAUUUUAUUUUCCUCUUUAUCAAUUUAGAGACGAACAAAACCGAUGCAUAUAAGAAUUUUUCUUAUUUUUCAAUCAAUUUUACCAAGGUAAAGAUAUCUUCGCUUUUUCGACAAUUUGAAAUAAGUUUUCCUAACUUUUUAGUUAAAAAUGUUGUUUAUAGAACAUUUUUCAAAACUAUUAAAUUUGAGUAAUUUUUACAUAAAGUUGUUAGAAUAAUGUAACUAUUCAAAAAUUAAGAAUAUAUUAAUAAAAAAGUUAUUUUUGGUAAUAUACAUAACACUAUUUUAUAAUAUUUUUAUUCAGUUAUAAUUUUUUAAGCUUAAAAUUUUAAUAAUUAUAUAUUUUAAUUGAUUGAAAUACUAUCUAUCAGCUGUGAAGUCCGGGCCCUGCACUAGUAAAAUAUACUUUGAUGAAUAUUGUUUUGGUGGAAAGACGAUAGAUAUAGCUAGUAUUGAAUUACGCUAUUCGAUCAUAUACAUUAUUUUUUUUUCGCUUUACCAAAAACUAAUGCAGGAACUCUUCAUCGCUGGUACCGAAACCUCAGCAACGAUUAUCGAGUGGGCCAUGUCGGAACUCAUACGAAACCCUAAGAUCAUGGAGAAAGCGCAAAGCGAAAUAAGAGAAGCUCUGAAGGGAAAACCUAAUGUGGAGGAAGCUGAUCUUGGACAACUCAGCUACCUGAGACUAGUCAUCAAGGAGGCUUUCAGGCUUCACCCACCAGGGUCACUUCUCCUGCCAAGAGUUGCAAAGGAGACAUGUCAGGUUAUGUAAAGAAACCAAUCUCUCCAAAAGCUUCGAAUAAUGCUAAGGAAAUGUUGUUCUAAUAUUUUAAUGUUUUACUUUUCUCUUAUUUGAGUGUAACAAGUUUCCAAGAUCUAGGUCUAAUACAUGAAUUUUGCGCGCAGAGUGAACCAAAGAUGAACAUGAGUCUAGCGGGAUUUGAUGUAGGAAUCAAAAAAUAUAUAUAUAUAUAUAUAGAAUUAGGCUGGAAUACUAUUAAUAGUAAAACGCUCUUUUUGCUAUCAAGUUUUUAACCCUUGGAUGAAAAAUUGUAGGAUCAAAAUAAUAUUAGUUGGCUAGAGUUGAGUGGUCCCCCUAGGUUUGAUUGGUCUCCACUGGGUUAUAGUAUUUAAUCCAAUAGUUAAAAAUAAUGAAAAGAGUUGAUCCAAAGGCUAAAAAAUUAGUAGCAACAAUGAGAUUUUGCUACUAAUAGUAGCCCAGUCCAACUAUAUAUAUAUAUAUAUANUAUAUAUAUAUAUAUAUAUAUAUAUAUAUACUCAGUUGCCAUUUGUUGGAAUUGAUAUUUGCUUAGAAUUUAAAGAUACUAAAACAGAAUAAUAUAGAGAAAACAUAUUAGAGGAGGUAACUGGAUUAUAGAUAAGGCAAACAAAUCAAAUUAGUUCGGUACGUACUAAAACUUUAGUAAUUAACUACGAUCAAGGUACUCAAAUUUGAUUUUAUGUUUAGAUCGAACUAGAACCUCUUAGAGUGAUAUUAUACAUACAAAAGGAUUUUACAAUGUUUUGCCGACUUGCUUAUGUGGCCAUACAUAAUUGGUAAAAAAAAGUAUCAAUCGUGCACGGGGUGAUUGCUAGCUGUAAUUUAUAAGGCAAAGAAUUAAUAAAAAUCUAAAAUUUUGAAUUUUAUAUAUUGUUGUAGAAGUUGUUCAUAAGAAUAAUAUUUUUCCAACCUUUUAAUGCUCUACUAGUAAUAUCUCCAAUGAAAUAACGUAUGUAUCGAUGUUUGUUGUGUAUAUGGCUACUUUAAAACCUGAAGCUGUUAGAGAAUACCAUAUGUAUCGAUGUUUGUUGUAUAUAUAGCUACUUUAAAAUCUGAAGCCGUUAGAGAAUAACGUAUGUAUCGAUAUUUGUUGUGUAUAUGGCUACUUUAAAAUCUGAAGCCGUUAGAGAAUAACGUAUGUAUUGAUGCUUGAUGUAUAUGUGGCUACUUUAAAAUCUGAAGCUGAAGGGGUGGAAUAACCCCUUAACCCCCAUAUUAUCCCCAAACACCCGAAAAAAUGGAUGGGGUUAGCUAACCCCGCCUCAAAUAAAUUAUUCCGGGUUAGCUAACCCCACCUAACCCCACCAAACUCCAACCAAACACUAUUUUCUAUUCAUAAUAAUUCACUAUCUUUCUUAUCACACCUACUCCAACCAAUCAUUGUCCUUCUUUAUCAAUCAUUAUCUUCUUAUCCCACCUACUCCAACCAAAUACUAUUUUUUAUUAUUCUAGACUAACUCCAACCCCUAACCAAACACAAAAAAACUUUAACCCCACUUUAACCCUGAACUUAACUCUAUCCCUGGAAUAGCUAUUUUUUUCUUAACCCCGAACCAAACGGAGGCUUAGAGAAUAACGUAUAUAAGGUUAUACAUGGAUGUUUGUUGUAUAUAUGGCAGGUCAUAGGGUAUACAAUACCAGCAGGCACUCGCAUGCUGAUCAAUGCAUGGGCACUGGGAAGAGACCCCCAGUACUGGGCCGAGGCCGAGAGGUUCAAGCCGGAGAGGUUCGAAGACAGCAGUGUGGACUUGAAGGGGAUGAACUUCGAGUUCCUGCCGUUCGGCAGCGGGAGGAGGAUGUGCCCCGGAAUGGCGUUCGGACUGGCUAAUGUAGAGCUCGCGCUCGCACAGCUGCUGUUUCACUUGGACUGGUCGCUUCCGGGGGGUAUGAAACCUCAGGAUCUUGAUAUGACUGAAGCUUUUGGGGCCGCAACGAGCAGAAAAUCGGAGCUCGUCUUGCUUGCAACUCCUCAUUUCCCAGCUAAUAUAUGCUAGCUGAUUAAUAUUACUAUAUGCGCAGAUUACGCAGACUUUUGAUAUAACUAUAUGUUGAAGUUCCUAUACGUACGUACCUACGUAAUAUAUAUAUGGUGAUGAUGAAUAAUUAAUGCUAUAUUAUGUACACUGAGAAACAGUUAAUUAGCAUGCUGGUGAUCAGUUGGUUAGACUAAAAACUCUCGUCUCGAUGCUAAUUUUGAUCGGAAUCUGAUUUUGGAUCUGUUUAUUCGUCUAUAAUUAAUUUCAGAUUAAAAAUGACUCUUAAAAAAAAAAAUAAUAAUAAACUACCCACUUUAUUCAUUAAAAAAAUGAAUUAGGCUAAAGGGAUGAGGCCACAGUAAACCUCGAACAAAACAGAUGACUAAAAAAAAAAAAAAAAAAAAAAAAAAUCAACAUUGCUAUUUGUGGGCAGCUAUUCUUAUUUCAACGAGAGAAUUUGUUGACAGCUAGUAAAUUAAAAAUUAAAAAUACCAUGUGGUUUUAUGAACGGUAAACUUCAAAUGCCAUCCAUGUGGCUUCGUACUUCUCACUUUAGUAUCCUGUGGAUUUUUUUUUUUUUUUUUUUUUUUUUUGGUCAGCCCCUCCGUUAACUUUUUGUUAAAUUAUAUAGAAAACUUCAGAUAUUCCACUUAUAGUUUAUCGAAUAUUAACUUUAGUACUCUUUUAGUUUUAAUUUUGUCACUGAUUUAACGAAAAAAAUUAGUGGAUGGAUAACAAAAAGAGAAAAAUAAAAUCAUAGAGUACGAAAGUGAUACAUUUUAAACCACAGAAUACUAAAGUGAGAAAGUACGAAACAUCAUACUAAAAUGAGAAAGUACGAAACUACAUGAAUGGUAUUUGAAGUUUUCCCUCUUAUAAAUUUAUAAAUGGAAGAUGUUCAAUGCAAAUAGUGGAGUAGGAAAAAUUGGGGUUUGAAUAAUAAAUUUUUCUCUCUUCCUUGACUAUGACUGUUGACUUGUCUCAUCUAAGACUUGUAUGCCCUGCCCUGCGAAUGCGAUAGCCGAAGAUGCAAUAGAAUUUUCUUUUCUGUUAAAUUAAAAAAAUAUUAAAGUUUAGAUUAAAACUAGUUUUAAUUUGCACAACUAUUUGUUCGAUAGGAAGUAACGGUUUUGAAACUAUAGCUAUUUGUUCAAUUAAAAAUGAAUUUCAAUUAGAUUAAAGUUUAGAUAAAACUAGUUUUGCACCACUAUUUGUUCAAUAAGAAAUAACGGUUUUCAAACUAGAGCUACUACAUUUUUUGUGGUUUAUUUUGCUGAAAUUUUUCACACCGACACAUAAAAAGGGUCAAAAAAAAAAAAAGAAGAAAAAAGGUUACAGUGGGUAAUUUUUUAUUAUUCUCCUGUAUCUUUUUCUCUCCUAUAACUGGCUUCCUCCCUAUUCGGGAUGAAGCCAAUUAUGGGAUUUUGAAAAAUUAGAGUUGUGAGCGAAUUUAAUUUACGAAAAACGAACAUAUUAAGUAUAGGGAUGCAAAUGGGUAUAGGUGGGCUGUAUAUUCGAUCAUUUGAAUCAGGAAAUAUGUGACAAUAAUUUGAUUAUCGAAGUCGUAAUAUGAUCCAUGAUCGAUCGCUAUCUCAACCAUUUCAUGCUUUGAAAGGCCUAAUAAAUUUAAAAGUGCUCAUAUAUAGUAUUCCCCCCGGAAAAACAUGAAACUACAAUAUUUUAUCAUAGAAGUUUUUUUUUUUUUUUUUUUUUUGAGAGAGAUAGGUGUGCUUCGUUUAUUUCAUUUAGAAAUAAACUUAACUGAAAAUGUGAAUCAACUAGGAUUCGAAGUUGGGAUCUUGGAUACCAACCACUAAACCCUUUGCCACUUGCUUUAGAAACGGUUGGUUAUAAAAGUUUUUCGUUUGUUUUUCUCAGAACCUGCAAUCUGCAAAUCUGCAAGAAAAAUAAACAUUUUCUAUCACCAGAUUUUUUUUUUUUCCUUUUCUUUUCUAUUUUGCUGAGUGAACUGGUUUUAUAGAGUUUACAUAAUAUAUUACAGCAAAAUGACUUAAAUGAGUUUUCAAAACGAAUUGAAGUUCAUUAAUUCGUGUUUCUCUCUUUUAAUAUUCAAUGGCAUGGCGAAUAUAGAUUGGAACUAAUUCUCCAUCAACUUGAACUGUGUUUCUCCCUACUCCUACUCGAUUUAACAAAGAAUAAAAAAAAAUUAAUACUUCAUGCAUUUCAAAAUGUGUAUGAAAAUAUUGUAAUAAGUCAGCUUUGUAUCAUAAAAGUUAAAUCCGUCAUUUAAUUUUUUUCAGAAUUGAAGUCGAAUGAAAUAUGUUAAAAUCGAAACGGCGAAAAAUAGAUCCAGAAAAUAAUUUAAUGCAAGAAAUAAAAAGAAAAGAGGAAAGAACACACCGAUAUUUAUAUGGUUCGGCCAACGGCCUACGUCCACGGACGAAGACGGAGCAAAUACUUUAUUAAUGUCGAAAAGGCGGAGUACAAAAAAGAUCUCUCAAAAAAGACCAAAGCUUAAUUAGAUCCGAAAACGCCGCAACAAGCAACUCUGGAAAGAAGGACUUCUCUUAACCAGUACGGACUCCAAAGUGGCGUUAAUUAGAGUUGCCGCGGAUCCUCACCGUACGGUACAUGAAUAGCUUGCUUUAAUUAAUUAGACUUGUGUCUAAUUAACAUUGCGGCAUCAUUAGAGCUUGCCUCUAAUUAAAGCACGGACCACACCACCAACAACUGAAUUAAUUUUGCAUGACUCUUAAUUGGGUCGCGGCAUCAUUAACUUGGCAGUAGCAUGUAUAUAUAAUACAUGUCUCUUAAUUAGAGUCUAAUUCUAAUUCAAUUAGAAUUAUACUCCUAAUUAUAAUCCAUAUAUGCCAAAUUAAAUCUAAAUAUAUAUAAUUCCAAUUAAAUUAGGAUUUAACUUCAAUUUAGAUAACUACAAAUCUAAACCAAAUAUAACAAAAUAUGUGUCAUAUUCGAACGAAAUUUAAAAUUCUAAAACAAGAAGUUGUCUUGUGUAUUUUAUUGACUAUUUAUUAUUAUCUGUAUAAAUUUUACACCAAAAAUCUUAUUUUUUUGUGCAGGUAAAUGUGCGUGGGCAAAACAAAUUAAACUUAUUCUGAAGUACAGAAAAGAAAAUUCUAUAGAAUCUUCGGCUAUGGCAGGGCACAGAAGUCUUAGAUGAGACUAGUCAACAGUCAUAGUCAAAAAAAAAGAAAAAUUUAUUAUUCAAACCCCAAUUUUUCCAUUUCUACUAUUUGCAUUGAACAUCUACCAUUUAUAAAUUUAUAAAAAAAAAAACUUCAAAUAUCACACCUAUAGUUUCAUACUUUCUCAUUUUAAUAUUAUUUGGUUUAAACUUUAUCACUUUCGUACCCUAUAAUUUUAUUUUAUUUUUUUUGUUAUUCUCUAUACUAAUUUUUUUAUUAAAUCGGUGACAAAGUUAAAACUAAAAGAGUGGAGUAUCUGAAGUUUUGUAUAUGAUUCAACGAAAAGUUAAUAGAGGGGCUGACGAAAAAAUAAAAUAAACUUACAGAAUACCAAAGUGAGAAAGUGCGAAACUAUAAGAGUGAUAUUUGAAGUUUAUCCUUUAUAAAACAAAAGUAGAGGGAUCAAACUUUGAAUUCCAAAGCUUACUCAGGCAUGUCACCAUCUAUAAGGUUUGUCUAUGCUAAAUUAUACAUAUAGUCCAAAGAAUUGGAAUUAAUUUUUGAGUGCUUCAUGAUGCAUAUAAUAAGCAUAGUAAACUAAUAAGCAUGGACUAGAUUUGUUUGACAAGUAUUAAUAGCAGAACAUUCAAUAUUAUCACUACUUAAAGCAGUUAGUUGGUAUCCUACUCUUUAAGUUAUAAGUCUCAAAUUCGAAAUACUACUUGUACAUGCAUCACAUAAAAUUUUGUACAUCUUAUAAUAUUUCCUUCUAGAAUUCAGACUAUUUUUUAAAGUUUUUCGUAUUUAAAAAAAAAUAGAAAGUGAUAAGAUUCGCAUGAAAAUAUUAGUCUUUGAAUGAUAAUAAUGUAACACAACAUAAAUGUACAAACAACAUUGCUUGUUCGAAAUUAUUACCAUUUAAACUUUGAAAAGAUACAAAACCAUCUGAAAUAUUAUGACAAUAAAACACCUAUAUGUGGAGGUUAUAUGUGUCUGAUCUCAUUUUCAAAGUUUGGGUGAUAAUAUCAAAUUGCGCUAAAGUAAUCAUGUUAUAUUUUCAUUCUUUAUUUUUUUUUUCUUUAGUCACUUUAUAGCUUAUGGUAUAAUUUUUUUUUAAAAUUUCUUGCUAAUUAAAUAUGGGAUCUGUUACAUAAUUUAUUAUGUAAAAGUUAUGUAAAUUGCUUACUUAGAUGAUUUAAUUCGCUUAAGCUUAGUUUGGUAUUGAGGUCUAGUUAACGCUAUUAGAUAAAAUGGAGUUGAGGAAAAAGCAUAUAGGAAUAUGCUUCUGCGUUCUCCGGUGGAACCAUAGAAAAUAUAUUGUAAUCGACUCAUGUGACACCCCAAUAGUCCCACAUCGGAUGGGAAAGGGGUUGUCAUUGGGUUUAUAAGAGACUUAGACACUAGUAAUAAUAACUGGGCUUAAGCAUUUUGGGCUGGUGGUUGGGCCCAACGAGUUAUUGUUGCUAGUGGGCUGGGUCGUUACAACUCAUCGCAAUAUGUGGAACUCAAUAUUACAUACGAAAACAAACAGGGUAUUUUUUCAAUGUACUUUCUCACCGCACAGUUAGAGGCAAAAAUGUUAUUUAAAAAUUACUCAUCCGUGAUCCGUCUAAUUCAGAUGGAUGGCAAUCAAUAGGGGCACUUACCCGACUAAGGUUUCGUUUGGGAUUGAGGGGAGAUUACGUUACAUGCAGUUAGAAAUGAUGAUGGAAAAAUACCCACCGUACGUAAUAUUGCGUUCCGCAUAUUGCGGUUAGUCGGUUACGAUAUAUUUUCUGACAUCCCAUCGGAGAACGCAGAAGCGUAUCCCUAUAUACUUUUUCUCAACUCCAUUCUAUCUAAUAGCGUUAUAUCCAUCUCAAUAUCAAACUAAGCUUAAGGAUGCUCAAGGCCCGGCUUAUUUGGUUCCCUAGAAAAUAUUUUAAAAUUUCUUUUUCUUGCUGAAAAAAUAUUUUUGGUAUGUUUAGUUUCCAGAAAAAAUAUUUUUUUUACAAAAUUAUUUUUCAUAUUUUAUGAAAAUUUUCUUUUCAUUUUCAAUUUUAAAAAAAUGAAAAAUUUUCUCUCAAGAAUAUUUUCGACAAGUAAAAAAAGAAAUAUCACUUUUCUAAUAUAGUGGUGUAUAUUACCACCCAACCCGUCAUUUUCAUCAUCUUCUACUGUUAUCUCUAUCUCCCCAAAUUAUAUAUAUAUAUAUAACCAUCUACAUCUUUUAUCCAUCAUCUCCACCACAGUCAAAUUAUUCUAUCUACACCAAAAUAUAAUUAAAUUUUUUAAAAAAUAUAAUUAAAAUUUAUUUUUAUUUAAUUAUUUAUUAUUUAUAUUUAUAUUGUAAAGAGUUUGUGAGUAUUAUGUUAAAUUUUAAAAGAUUGGUAAUCUCACAUUUUUUUUGUAGAAAAUAUUUAUACAUCAAAAUUUUCAACAAACCAUAAUAGAAAGAAAAUUUUAUUUUUUAUUUUAUUGUUACCAACCAAACACACAUAUAUGAAAAAAUAUUUUUCUUUUUCGUUAAACCAAAUAGUAGAAACUAGAAAAUUUAUUUUUCAUAAAAAAUUGUUUUCUUCGUAAAAUAAUUUUCUACUAUAUUUCAAGGAACCAAAUAGGCUCUUAUGUGGGCACAAUGACAAUUUAAAUUAUGGAGGUUUCGGGGAGUAGACCAACAUUCUACUUAAGUGGAGGAGGAGAUUAGCCUGGGCCGAGUCAUAAGCAAGACUCGUGAGUGCUGUAUUUGUAUAUUUUAAGUGAAUUAAUUAUUUUCUUUCUAAUAAAUCAAUUUUUUAGAAUUAUAGUUAGCACUAAUUUUCCAACUAGUAAGUAGUAGGCCAGAAUCCUGUCUAGAUGGCGGAGGCCAAAAUGAGCUUUUGGAAUUAUGAUUAGUACCAAUAAUCCUACAAGAGGGGCAUUGUUGAAAUAAGAACUUUGAAAAUAACAAAUAUAAAAUUAUUCCUUAAGGAAUAAAUGGAUACAAAGAAAUAUAAUAAAUAUGAAAUUAUCAAUUCCUUUAUUAAAAGAAUGGAUACAAAGAAUGACUUUUAUAUGGGGAAAAAUAAUUUAUAAGAAGAAAAUUGUCACCAAACACCAUCUAAUGAGCAAAUUUCUCACCACGCUAUCUUGUACUUGGCCAAAUUUCUACAUUGAAUACUGGGCAUGCACUGGCCCAAUUAAGCUACACUCCAAAACUCACUACUAUAUAAUGUGUGUUUAGACUAAGAGAGCUCUCCAUUCCCAAAAUAGCGUGGUUUAAAUUUUACUUGCAUAGAAAGAGAUUCGGCGAGAGAUAUGACUAAGUUAAGGUAAUGCAUUUCAUCUGCUUAGUUAGGCAAUUUUAAUUCGUUCUUAAUUUCAAAACAGAUUGAUAUAUGCAAGUAUUUUUUUAAGUGAUGGACAAUGAGUGAGAAAAUGAUGUUAGGUUGGAAGGCAAGGUGGCGGUUAUCACCGGCGCGGCCGGCGGGAUAGGCGAGGCCGUGGCGGCCUCCAUCGGCGCCGACCGGUGCAAGUACUACCGGUGCGACGUGCCCGACGAGCAGCAGGUGUCCGACCUCGUCGACUUCGCCGUCGCCACCUUCGGCGGCCUCGACGUCAUGUACAGCAACGCGGGCAUCAUGGGCCGGCCGGCCAGCCUGCUCCAGAUGAGCCUGGAGGACUUCGACAACGUCGUCGCCGUCAACGCGCGCGGCUGCGUCGCGGCGGUCAAGCACGCGGGGCGCGCCAUGGCGGCGGCCGGCACGCGGGGGUCGAUCAUCUGCACGGCCAGCCUGGCGGCGACGGUCGGCGGGAUGGGCCCGCACGCGUACACGGUGUCGAAGCACGCCGUGCUCGGCCUGGUCCGGUCGGCGGCCGGGGAGCUCGGGCAGCUGGGGAUACGGGUGAACUGCGUGUCGCCCGCGGGGGUGGCGACGCCGCUGGCGCUGGGGUUCACCGGGAUGACGGUGGCCCAGGCGGAGGCGGUGUGCGAGGCGAUGUCGGCGCUCAAGGGGGCCGCAAUGAAGGCCGGGGACGUCGCGGCGGCCGCGCUGUUCCUGGCGUCCGACGAGGCGGCGUUCGUCAGCGGGCAUAAUCUCGUGGUCGACGGCGCGACGACGGCGCUCGGACCGAAGCCGCCGGGGGUUAACAUGCAGUGAAAUUUAAAUCUUCGGGGCGAUUUAUUGCCUUUUCUCCAUGCAUGUUGAAGGAUGCAAUAUGUACUACUGCAUCUCAAAUUUAUGUAAUGAAAUUUCUGAAUUCAACCUUUUGCAUUAAUGGAAUAAUUUAAUAAAAUUAUGAAACAAAAGCUGUUUUUGUGUUAACACUGUUGGAUAAGUAAUCUGCCGAUUCUUUUAGUAUAAACAAAUCUUUUUUAUAAAAUAUAUAAAAAAUUCUUGAAUUGCAAAGUUUAACCAAAUAUAUAAUAAGGAAUUAAUAAUCAAAUAUUAUAAUGAAGAAAAAGUAUAGAUGAGGCCCGAAAGCGAAGGUGCAAGAUUGCCUCUACACAUGCAAGGCUCCAAGUAACAUAAACAACUAAAAAAAGAAAAAUUUUAUAUAAAACAUUGAUAAAAGACUUAAAUGUCAAAUUGAAAGUAUUGAUUUUACUUUUGAUGGUAAGUAAAAUUAUAUAUUAAAAUUUCAUCUAAUUUGUAUCAUUUUAUACCGUUGAACUUACAAACAUAUUAAUUAAAGAGUCCUAACUAUUAAUUAAAACGGAUAAAAAUGUCAAUUCACUUUAUUAACUAACUAGGAUUAAGUAUUUUACCAAUAAUUAACUAAUUUUUUCUAAUGGAUCAUAACGGUAGGAAUAUAUUUGAAAACAUUAUGACUCUUGAAAGGACAACAUAUGAAAGUUGAACUUUGUAGGAAUAUAUUUGUAAUUCACUAUAUUUGUAGGGACCUGUAUAAAAUUAAUCCUAUAUUUUAACUCCUUAUUUAGUGUAUAUUUUGUUAUUUUAUACCUUACGGUAUAUUUUUAAAAAAAUUUCUAAGUUGUGUGGUCAAUUACAUUAUUUUUAAAUUAUUAUCUUAUAAAAGUGUGUAACUGCUUACUUAGAUGACUUAAUUUGCAUAUAAAAAUGGUAUUUAAAACCUCAUUUUCAACGGAUGGAUAGUAACCAAUGGAGGUCAUUCACGAUUACCUUUGAUGCUGAUGCGGGCAAAAUUAUAUUUUAAUUUUCGGAGGUGUUGGCAAGUAGACGAAUAUUCUGCUGACACUGAGGAGGCCAGAGUAGUCCUAAGUUAACUCACAUACAAAUUUUGAAAAAUUAAUUGCAUAUUGGUCUCUAAGCUUUCCGCUAAUUUUAUUUGGUCCCUAAUAUUUUUUUUUACAAUCAAAAUUUUAAAUCUCUUGAUUUAAUCUUUAUUAUUAUUAUAUAAAGAUAAAUUGUGAACUCUAAAUAUGGCCUCUUCUUAUUUUGAGAGCUGUGGGAUCACAAUAAUUUUUUUAAGAAUUAAUCGCACAUUAAUCUCAAGCUUUUCACUGUUUUUUUUUUUGUCCUUAAUCUUUCUUUUGCAAUCAAAUUUUUAAAUCUCUUAAUUUCAUCGCAAUAAAAAUGAACCUAAAAUUAAUUGCACAUUGGUCCCUAAACUUUUCGUUAUUUUUAUUUUGGUCUCUUAUCUUUUUCUUUACAAUUAAAUUUUCAAAUAUCUUGAUUUAAUUUUUAUUAUUAUUAUAUGAAGAUGAAUUGUGAAUCCUAAAGAAGGCCUCCCCUUAUUUUGGGAGGCUGUGGGGUCCACAGCAAUUUUUUAAAAAAUUAUUAGCACAUUGGUCCCAAGCUUUUCAUUAUCUUUUUUUGUCCUUAAUCUUUUUUUGCAAUUAAAAAUGGCACUGUUAAAAAAGAUUUUAAAUUUUAAUGAUAUUAUCAGACCAUCGCCUAUUUAGCUAUUUUUUGCGUGUCAAUUUUAAUCUCUAAAUUUUACUUUUCACUUUAAUACCAAAAAUAAAAAUUCAAAAUUUAUUUUAAAAUUAAUUCGAAAAUUUAUGAAUAGAAAAAAAUCUAUACUAAUAAAAAUAGAAUAGUUGAACUAUAUAUUAUAAUAAUACUUUUUCAUCGCAUCGCGUGGGCCCUUAACUAGUGGUUUCCAACACGGAGAAGAAAAAUCAAAGAAGAAAAUUGUCAUAAGUUGCCAUCUAAUGAGCGAAUUUCUUUUACUUUAUAGUACUUGAAUGAGCGAAUUUCUUUUAUCUUAGGCCCGUUUGGUUCGGGGGAUAAGCGGGGAUAACGAAAGUUAUCCCCGCUAUUCCGCCAAACGGGAAGAAAUUUAGCCAGAAUAUUUUAUUCCGGUCAAACUUUACUAUUCUUGGUUAUCCCGGGAUAGCAAAAGAUUUGCUAUUCCACUAUUUUGGUGGAAUAGUGCUAUUCCAAUUCUUAAUUUCAAACUUAAUUAAAAUUAUAAAUUGAAUUAAAACUAAAUUAUAUAAAUAUAAUAUGUUAUAUAUUAUAAUACAUUAUUUUUAUUAUAAAAUUAUUAAUUGUAUUAUAUUAAUACAUAUUAUUUAUAUUUAAAUAUUAUAAUAAAAUUUAUAAUAAAUUAUAUUUAAAUAUUAUAAUAAAUUUUUUUUAUUAAAUUUAAGUUUAAGUAGAAUUUUUAAAAAAUUUAUAAAUUUAUUAUAAUAAAUUAUUUUUAUUAAUNAAAUUUAAAGUUUGAAAUUUAAAAUUUAAAUUUUGAACUUAAAAUUUGAUAUUUUAAAUUUUAAAUUUUGAAAUUUCAAAGUUAAAAUUUUAAAUUAAAAAAUAUAAAUUUAAAAAUUUAAAAAUUCAAAUCAAAUAUAAUAAGUGGAUAAUAUCAUUAUUUUUUAUUUAUAAAAAUUUAUUAUCUUUUUUAUUCCAUCUUGUCUAACCAAACGCUAUUUUUUUUAUUCCCAGGAAAAAUCUAAUUUUUAUCGAAACGCAAAAUUGAUCUAAUCCCUGCUUAUAUCUCAAUUUAUAUCUAUCACUGAAAUAAUCAUUUUUUGCUUAUUCCCGAACCAAACGACAUCUUAUAGUACUUGAAUGCUCGCUACUAUAUAAUGACUGUGAGACUAAGAGAGCUCUCCAUUCACAAACUAGUGUGUUUUCAAGAGAGAGAGAGAGAGAGAGAGAGAGAGAGAGAUCCCCCGAGAGAUAUGGCAAAGUUGAGGUGAUGUAUUUCAUUUGCUUAUGCCUUUUUUUAGUUUGUUUCUUAAAGCUAAUAUAUGGCGUGUUUGAUUCGGCUAGAGCUUCUAAAAAACGUGAUUAGUACUGUGUAGAGGAGAGUUGUUCGAGAAAAUAUUUAAUUUCUUUCUAUUAUUUUUUUUUAAUUGAGAAUAUGUGCGACAGCAGAAGCGCGGGUUUUAAUUUGAAGCUUCCAUUUUGGCUCAGAAAUUUGUAGUAAAAACUCAGUAAUUUUUUGGUUGUGGUGGAACUUAAUUGUUUCAAUCACGUUACUCUGGCCAUCUAUGGGUUUUGAUUGGGCAUGUCCAAAUAAAGUAGCUCUUUGAAUUUCUCAUUUUGGAUAUUACCGUAUUGAUUCAUUAAUGAUAUUCUAAAAAAUAUUAAAAGAAUUGUGAAAUAUAAUUUGAGUGAAUGGCCAUCGUGAGAAAUUGAUAUUAGGUUGGAAGGCAAGGUGGCCAUCAUCACCGGCGCGGCCAGCGGAAUAGGCGAGGCUGCGGCGCGGCUCUUCGCUGAGCACGGCGCCCGGGUCGUCAUCACAGACAUCCAGGACGAGCUCGGGGCCGCAGUGGCGGCCUCCAUCGGCGCCGACCGGUGCAAGUACUACCGGUGCGACGUGCGCGACGAGCAGCAGGUGUCCUACCUCGUCGACUUCACUGUCGCCACCUUCGGCCGCCUCGACGUCAUGUACAGCAACGCGGGCAUCAUAUGCCGGGGCAGCCUGCUCCAGAUGAACCUGGAGGACUUUGACAACGUCGUAGCCGUCAACACGCGCGGCUGCGUCGCAGCUGUCAAGCACGCGGGGCGCGCCAUGGCGGCGGCCGGCACGCGGGGAUCGAUCAUCUGUACGGCCAGCGUGGCGGCGACAGUUGGCGGGAUGGGCCUGCACGCGUACACGGUGUCGAAGCACGCCGUGCUCGGCCUGGUCCGGUCGGCGGCCGGGGAGCUCGGGCACCUGGGGAUACGAGUGAACUGUGUGUCGCCCGCGGGGAUGGCGACGCCACUGGCGCUGGGGUUCAGCGGGAGGACAGCGGAGCAGGCGGAGGCGGAAUGGGAGGCAAUGUCGGCGCUCAAGAGGGGUGCGAUGAAGGCCGGGGACGUCUCUGCGGCCGCGCUGUUCCUGGCGUCUGAUGAGGCAGCAUUCGUCAGCGGGCAUAAUCUGGUGGUCGACGGCGCGAUGACGGCGAUUGGACCCAAGCCGCCGGGGUUUGACCUGCAGUGAAUUUAAAUCUUCAGAGUGAUUUGCUAUUCAUGUAUGUCGAAGGAUGCUUUACUUGCUACUCCAACAGUUGAGUGCUUUGAUCUAAAAAUAUAACCUGGCAUGAAUGGAAUAAUUUAACAAAGUGAAAUUAUGCAACAAAGAUGUUUCUAUUUUAACACACUGGUGGAAAAACUCGAAGAUAUUAUCAGAUGCUCUAAACAAUUAAAAGUGCUGCAGUUUUCGGUGCAUUAAUUGCAAUUUGCAUCAAUGAUCUUGAUCACAGUAUAAGUGAAAAAAUUACACCAACGAUCCUCAAAUGGUUAUAAAGAUCACACUUUAAUCCUCAAAUUAUCAGGCAAGUCGCAAUCAAAUUCUGACGAUACAUUCCAUGACUCGGGUUUUGCGAAAAGAUACCCUGCAUUACCAUCACCACCAAAGCGGUCGCCAAAAAGGAAAAAAAAAAAAUUACUGCAAAUACAAAUUCAUAUCAUUCGACAGCUACUGCCGAUAUUAUUUAAAGAAAAGAAAAAGUAAAGCUUAAUUGCAACCCCCUAACAGUUUGCAGACUAAGGUAAAAGUCUGACCAUUGAAGUGCAACUCGCACAAUAAUUUAAGAACUGUUAGUAUAAUUAUCCCCCUAUAAAAUCUCAGACAUCUGUCGACGAAACCAAUAUGUGCUCAUCCAUAAGAAGCAACAAAAACCAGAAACUGUGAAUGCAGAAGUAAUUUGAUUUCCUUUUAGGGCAAAAGGAGAAUUCAUUUCUAACAUAGUGGAUCACUUACAUUGUAGCUACAGAAUUACAUACCAAGUACAAGAAUCAAAAUCAUUCCAAUGAUCGAAACAUUGGCUAAUCCUUAUCAUGACCAGAAGGGCGGCUGUUGUUCUUCGUAGCGAAAGCUGCUCUCAUGCUCUCAAGUAUGCACAAUGCCUAAUCAGAACCAUUGCAUUCUGAGCCUGCAAGGAAAUUUGAGAUAGUGAGGCCAAAUUUGGAGUUAAAAUCAUGAAUUUAAGGCACAGCAAGAAAUGAAUGAAGAAACCUGAUUCCUAGCUGCAUAGGGUAGUAGAAUAUUCAAUCAAACAAAUAAAAUGGUAAAAUUAUGCGCAGGAUCAGUUUUAAGUUUGAUCAUCAACUAUCAAAUUGUGACGAACUGGGUUCCUUACCAUCGUACUACUUUUGCAGCGAGUCUUUCUAUAACAUCGCCCGGCUAAAUUAGUCAGCAGUGUCUACGUAAUCACCGAAUUAAGUUCUAGUUUGGAAAUGCACUGCCCAAUCACAUCCGAUUUGAUACUUUCCAGAGCAUGAAAAUUCCAAAAGCACUUUAGAUGUUCGUCCUCCAAUGCUUUUGAAUGGUGCUAUCAAAUGUGAAUUGCCACUCUCUAGUGGCAGUUCUUGACAUCUUUCAAUACAUCAUCAGAGAUUUGAAUUCUGUUAUAUCCUCCAAAGCAUAAAAAACAUGUAACAUUGGGCAACACAUUUGCAAACUCGGCCUAUGUGCCAACAGCCAUCAAUGCAUAAUAAAUCUCCCCCCCNCCCCCCCCCCCGCCCCCCGAACCCAAAAAAAAAACAGAGAUGUUCAAAAGUCACUAAAACGGCAAUUUCAAAAGCAUUUCUGUGCAUUUCAACAGAAAAGAGUGCGAAAGGGUGCCACUGUAAUGGAACUGCUAUUCUUCUACUCUAAAUAGCAAUUGCCAGGUGUUAGGCAAACAGCUUUUACUGUGCCAAACAGCUGAAAUGAGAUUCCAAUUCCCCAGAGGAGAAGCACCAACAAGGUUUCUGCUUCUGCCUAGCGAGAUGUUGUUCGCGAAAUUGAAAUAAACAAGCUCUUAGUGCUUCAAAAUACAAAUUCUUCAUAUACACGAUGCCUGUGCUUUUUCAAACAGCUCUAAAAUUAAAACAAAGAUGAUAUCUUUAUUUUACAAGAGAAAUGUAUUUAGAUGCGUGCCUGUUCACCUUAGAAGGAAUAUUCCUUGAGGUCGGCCUUCAUAUCACCCACUUCAGUGUCCAUCAAGCACUCCUCUUGUGGAAGUGGUGGGAGCUGCCUUGUCUUCCUCUUUAAAUUAUGCUUGUGCCACUCGCUUUUGAAGUGCUCCCUAUACUGAUUGGCAUCCCCAACAACUGCAUCGCAUGUGUUGCACCUGUUCUGUUUGACUUCUUGUCCUACACUGCUACUGUUUCCCUCACUAGAAAUGCUUUGAUUCUGCAUUCUCUCUCCUAGCCGGAUGAUGGGAUCCGACUCCUCUGUGGAUUUCAACGGGAGGUCUUCUGCCUCAUCAAAAUGGUCCACAUUUGCAUCCUCAUCCAUGUGGACUGAGACCGCGAGUAUUUCCACCCGCCCCUGCAAGCUCCUCAAUAGAGCAUCACAAUCACGGAAAAGACUUGGUUCAAGCUCACAGACCUACAUCAGAAUAUUCAUGGAAUCAGAACAGAGCCAUUUUACAUUAUAUAUCCUUGAAAAUUAACUAUUUAUAUAGAGAUCUCUGAGGAAUUCUGAAUUUUCAUAUGUACCCCUUGAAGUGCAGUUUCUUACGAAAACACCCUUAAGAUAAGUUAAGGGUUGCCAGAUUUAUCAUGGCGAGUUCGUUUUUGCAUUUGAAAAAGUUUGUGCAGAGCGGCAUCUUUUUUUUCUUCUAACAUCAAGAGUACAUAAGUAAAAAAAAUAAGGGUUAUUCGCAUACACGUCCCUGCAAACAUAGUGAAUUGCAGAAAUAUCCCUGCAAAACGGAAAUUUCAUAAGUUGUCCCUACAAAAGUCCUAAGUUAUGCAGAUAUGUCCCUCUGGUUGAAAUCUGUUAAGAAACUGUUAAUUUUUUAACAGUUUUCUUGUGAAAUGACUUUUUUACCCUCACAAAUAUAUCCCUCCAAAUCUCUUUCCCUUCCCUUUCUCUCCCUCUUUGGGCCACCGGAGUGGACGGCGGCGGCGGCGGCGUGGGGUUGGGUUCGCCGGCGACGAAGAAGAGGAAAGAGAAAGAAGGAGAGGAAGAAGGAGAGGAAGAGGGAGAAGAAGAGGGAAGAGGAAGCGGGAGAGGGAAAGGGUUUGCUUUCACCCCACAUCUUCUCUCUCGCCGGCGACGAAGAAAAGGGAAGAGGAAGAAGGAGAGGAAGAAGGAGGAAGAGGAAGAAGGGGGAAGAGGAAGAGGGAGAGGAAGAGGAAGAGGGAGAGGGCCGCCGCCGAUGCCGCCGUCGCCGUCAACGCCACCGCCGGCGAGGAAGAAGAUAGAAGGGGAAGAGGAGGAAGAGGAAGAAGGGUAAAACCGUCAAUUUACGUUAUUAAUUAACCAUGGUUAAGUUUUUAACUAUGGUUAACGAAAUUUUUUUAACAGACCUUAACGGUAGGGACAUAUCUGCAUAACUUAAGACUUUUGCAGGGACAACUUAUGGAAUUUCCGUUUUGCAGGGAUAUUUCUGCAAUUCACUAUGUUUGCAGGGACGUGUAUGCAAAUAACCCAAAAAACAAAGUUUCUGAAGGGCGUACAUAGAAGCACACAUAUGUAAACAUCUCUUGAAUAAACCACAGACUAACAAAUGGAUAUGUAAACCUACAACCAAGAAAACCCGAAUAUGUUUAAUGAGAUAAUCUGAUCAUAAAAUAGGAUGGAUAUGAUAUUUUAAGUUUUCUCCAACUAUCUGACAUUCGCUGUUAUUCUAAUGUAUACUUUCUGAUAACAAGCACCGAUAUAUAUUAAGUCAUCUCAUAUUUUAAGAAUCCAAACCGUUUUAAAGAUAGGUCGAACUUGUCAAGAUCUGUUCUCUAUCAAUUCGGCAAUUAAGAGUUCGCCUUUAAGCUUAAACCAUAAUGAUCGCAAAAAAUUUCAAAAAACACAGAAAAAUGGUAGAAUGUAUGAAAGACGAUAACAUAAACUACUACCAUCUUUUUAAUUAGUAUCACUGUAACAUAAGCCAGCAUGAAAUAACAGAUUUUCUUUCCUUCACUGCUAGAUUUGUGAUUUUACAAAAUUUUGUGAUUGAGAAAUGAAAGCAACUAGAAUUCAGACUUACAACAGAUGGCUGAUUUCCUGAUUCGUCCCUCGAAGUUAAGUUAGCAUUCCAAGCACCCAGCUUCUCAAUGAGAGUAGAAAAGUUCUUCUCAGGUACAAAAAGCCGCAAUCUCAUUGGCGACCGCUUUAUAGGAAAGUGCUUUUGAAGCUCACGAAUAACUUCUAAUGCCUGCAAAGACCAAAAAGUAAAAGUUGCUUAAAAGGAAAAAUGCGUAGCUCUUUCUGCAGUGAAAAGACCUCAUUUCUAAUUUCCUUAAGACGAUACCUCAUAUGGAAUUCCUAUUUCACCUCCACUAGUAUAAAGAAUUAAUGGCCUGCUGGCCCUUAAAACUUCCACUGCAAAAUCUAGCUAGGAGAUCUCCACCAAACAAAAAUAUUCAACAAAGGAAUGGGCUUUUAUGCAAUGUUCAGAGCGACUUACUUAAGAAAACUGUUUUAUGCUACUAUAUCUCCUAAGAAUUGCCAGCAAUAAAUUACUGUAUAAGAUUCUAACAAUCAUCUAAGAAAGGAAAAACAUCUGUAUGAAUACAUAGAGCAUCCAUUACCAUGACACGUUAUGCACAAGCAUAAAAUUAACUCACAGGACAAUUUGGCAAGCAUUGAUUAGCAAGUAUUCACAUUGCUUUGCAAGGACAAAAAAGAACUAGAAUUAAAGUAAAGAGAGUCAGUUUUCCAUCCGGAACAUUGAAUUUACAGAUCAUCAAAAAGAUAGUUCUACAGUUUCCAACUGUUUAUGACAGGCAAAAUACCUGUUUCUUUGAGCUGGUAUUAGGAUCAACCGCGAAAUGUAUUUCAUGCAUAAGACGCUCAAUCAUACUGAUUGUGUAAGGGCGUUGAGUUUCCGGAUUAAUAGUCUUUUGCAUCACAAUAGUUGCAAUAUCCCGGAAUUGACUAGACAACUGGGACUCUCUUUCCUUUCCAGCAACUUGAAGCUCUCCUUUCUCCAAAAUCUGGUACAACUUCAAUCAGCUUAGCAACCUACUAAAAAUCCAUCAAAAAAUGUCCUCCUCCCCCCAUUUAUCUAGUUAAUGAGUAAAUAUAGUAAAGCAAAAGAAAAGGAUGAUUAGCAACUGACUAAGCAGAUAAUUAAUUCUAGUUUUACUGUUUAAAAUGCUUCAUGAUUUACCAAAAGUCCUCUAUUUCCUACACUUUUUAUAUUAUACAAAGCCCUAUACUGCAUACAUCAUUCCAUGCAUUUCCAAUACAGGGAAGCGAACCAACAAAAGUGCCUUGAUUCUGCAUCUAAACAAAGAUUUAUACCUUCCAUUCAAACAGUUUGAUAACAGAAAUAUCAGCUGUAUGUACUCAAGUAUAUGUUAGCAUGAAGUACCUAUAAAACAUAUCUACAAGUUAACUAUUAACUAAUGUACCAUUACAGGACAGUAACGGCAUCUCUCCUGCUAUUAAUUAAUUCAGAGCAUAAGAUGUAACUUUACAAUUGCAGUUAAUCAAUAGCAUCAUAUGCAAAUAUACACUAGUAGUUUUUUUCAGAUAAUUUUGAAAGAAAAUUCAGCACUAAAAUAACUACAGCAAACAGCUUUGACAAAUGUAAUACUUAUGAUAGUACACAAAUGCCAACAGGAGAAAUACGAGUACUUGCAUGGAAACACACACCGGUAAUCCGGUAUAAUAUCUUGUUUUAAAAAUCAAACAAGCUUACCUCUAAGCAUAUUUCUCUUUGGUCAUCAGUACCAAAAGCUGCAAUCAAAUCCUUUGAUUUUGCAAGAAUUCCUUUGGAAACAUUUGAAUAAACUGUAUGCGAUUGCAACACUUCAUCCAAAUCCUUCUCCCUUCAUUAUAGGACAAGAAUAGCAAGAUGUGUCAGAGAUUCUAAAUCCAGAGAAAGAAGCACAAAAACUUUAUAUCUAUAAUGAACCUAUUUCACAAAAUGCCAAGAGAGAUAGGAGAGAUAAAAUUGCCCUUUUGAUGGUGAUACUAUAUAGCAUUAACUGAAUUAGAGAUUUUGAUAUGACUUGUAAAAAGAAGCAGAAGAGCUACGACCAGAAAUAUCAAAUAUUGCCUUUGACCAGAGGCGUAUCUGAGGCUAAAUUCAUCACAGAAUUUAAAAGACCAAAGUAAAUUGCACUUAAACAACAAAACUGGUGAAUAACUCAUCUCUUUCAUUGAAAGAUCCUCAUCUAAGACUUUGCAUUGCUAACAUUAAUAUAUUUUCAAGGCAUCAACUUGUUCUCCAGGUGCAAGGAGAAUUCACACACACACACACACACACACACACAAAAAGGCAGAGAAAAAUCUGAAAUCUAAAAAAAAAAAAAACCACAAGUAACAGCCUUAUAUGAUGUAACUCAUAACGUUCAUGAAAUGACCCAACAAAACUACUACCUGCAGAAAUGGGAAAAAGAAAAAAAAAAAACCACCAGAUUGAGAGCAAGCAUCAGGACAUCAUCUAACUGUUAGAACAAAAAGACAUUAUCUAUGGAAGCAACUUAUUCAUUAAAGCAAACAGAGUCGUAACAGGUGAUUGAAGGUGUAGGCGGUCACUAAGACCAUCAAGCUCCAAAACUAGUAAUUAUUAAAUCAGUUAUCUUAGGCACCUAGGAAACCUGUUUUGAAAUAAAUUUCCAGAGAAAUCUCUCCUUCAAGUAGAAAAGAACCCAACAACCCGGAAAAAAAAAAAAAUCAACUAAUGGUCUUCAAUUCAAACUCCGAGGUGAAUAGAUAAACAAAGUCCUUCCUCAAUUAAUAUGUGCCAACUUCCAGCUCAGUUACAAUUAAAAUCACUUAAAUCAAAUGCCUCCGAGAAGACUCUUUUCAAGUAGAGGUAAAAAAAAAAAACACAAAAGAAGGCAAAUGACACUAUUGGUCAUGAAACUAAUCACAGAAUUAUACCAUCAGCCACGAAACUUAUUGUUAAGCUUCAUCUACGCUACGAGACUACAAUUUUGUAGUAGUUGUGAAUCUAAACUUUACUUUUCGUCUAAAAUGAGUUAAUUUGACAAGUUUUUGUUAGGAUUCCUAAGGGAAGAUACAGAAACUAAUUUAGUUGCCAUAUCAUCUACUAGAGAUGACAUGAUGAUAAAAAUAACACUAAUAUCAUCUCCUGAAGAUGACACAGCCCAAUCGGCUACCACAUCAUCGAUCAUUACGCGAUUAAAACGAAUUCAAGCUCAGUUAUUUAAAUGAAACUUUGGGAACUCAAAAGAAGGAUUAUGGUCCGAGGCAACCAAACGAACAUAAUCUUUCCCCAUGAAAAAAGGGGGCCUAAGUUUCCAUCGGAAACCCUAGACCUUACUAGUCAUAAAAAAAUUACAACUUAAUAGUGAAAAAAAUGUCAGCUUUCCGAUCCAAUUCCGAUAACCGAGCACAGAACAAUCGAAACCCUAACCCAAAUGGUUCGGAGGAAAAGCAGAGGGAGAUCAUAGGAGGGAUUAGGGUUUUGGAGACGUUACACGCGGGAGCGCCAUGAUAGGACCUUGUUCUUGUAGCAGGCGAUCUCGAAGCGGAUCCCGUGCUUCUUCAGCCGCACGAUCGCCACGUUCGUCAAACGCUUCUGCCCUAUCGGCUGCACCAGCGUCUUCGACAUCUCCCUCCUCCACCCCUCUCUCUCUCNUCUCUCCCCCCAACCUCCCCUCUCUCUCUCUCUCUCUCUCUUUCUCUCUCUCGAACUCUCCUCAGGAGGGAGGAGAAAGGGAAUGAUUAUUUGUGUAAAUUUUUUAGGGUAAACUUCAAAUACCGCAUACGUGGUUUUGCACUUCUCACUUUAGUACCACGUAGUUUAAAAAUACAUCAAAUUAGUAUCCCGUGAUUUCAUUUUUAUCUUUUUGUCAGUUUUUUUGUUAAUAUUUUAUUAAAUUAUAUACAAAAAAACUUCAGAUACCCACCUAAGUUUAUCGAAUAUUCACUUUAAUAUCCUUUAGUGUUCACUUUGUUACUGAUUUAACGAAAAAAAUUAGUAAAAUCGAUAAUAAAAAGAUAAAAAAAAACCACGGAAUACUAAAUUGAUACACUUUAAAUCACAGAGUACUAAAGUGAGAAAGUGUGAACCACAUGAAUGGUAUUUGAAGUUUUUUCUUUAAUUAACUAGUAUAGGACCUACGCAUCGCGGUGCCUAGAUAAAAUUUUAGCUAGUCAAGACAUAGAGUUAUUAAAAACUAUUCAAAUAAUUUCUUGUGCCAUCAAAAUUUUAUUUUUGAUUUAUAUUUUAGAGUAAAUUUAUGAUGCAAUGAACGCAUUCAAAAUAUUAAUAGUUAUGUGGCAAUGGCAAUCUCCAUUGGUUAAUGGGUAACCUGCUAUUUCUAAAAGAACAGAGAAUUAUUUGCUUGCUUUUAAUACACACUAAUUUUUCAUAUAUGGUACAUAAUAUUAUAUAGUUAAUAAAGUACUUGGGGACUAAUAUUAUAAAAUAAAAUAUGAGAUAUUAAAAAAUAGGAAAAACUUCAAAUACCUCCCAGUGGUUUCGCAGUUUCUCAUUUUAGUAUCAUAUAGUUUAAAGUGUAUCAAGUUAGUAUCAUGUGGUUUCGCACUUUCGCACUUUCUCACUUUAGUAUCCUGUGGUUUAAAAUGUAUCAAGUUAGUACUCUGUGAUUUUAUUUUUGUAUCAAGUUAGUACCCUAUGGUUUUAUUUUUCUCUUUUUAUUAUUUAUUUCGGGGUUUUUUUUUCGUUAAAUCAGUGACAAAGUUAAAACUAAAGGGUACUAAAAUGAAUAUUCGAUAAAUUUAGAUAGGGUAUCUAAAGUUUUUUUGUAUAUAAUUUAGCAAAAUAUUAAACCACAGGGUACUAAAGUGAGAAAGUGCGAAACCACAGGGUACUAACUUGAUACACUUUAAACCACAGGGUACUAAAGUGAGAAACUGCGAAACCACAUGGGAGUACGUAGCAACCCCAGUUAUUAACUUCCAACCGUGUAUAAUUUUUCAUAUAUAGCAUAAUACAAUAUUAUAUAUUAAUAAAGUAUUUGGUCAUUAAUAUUGUAAAAUAUAAUAUAAUAUAAUAUAUAAUAGUAAGUUAACCUCUGCAGUGCACGAAAUUAUCAAAAUUAAAUUUUAAUUCUAAAUUUAAAUAUACUCUUAGUUUAGUUUUCUUAUAUUAUUUUUAAAGUAUGGUAACAAAAAUAGCUUUCAACAUAUAUAUUCUAAAUGUUGACCGUUCCUAGAACAAGUGGCAAAGGGUUUGGUGAUUGGUAUCCGAGACUCAAGUUCGAAUCCUAGUUGAUUCACAUUUUUAGCUAAAUUUAUUUUUAAAUGAAAUAAACGAAGCGGGUAGCGUGCUACCUAUCUCUCUCUCUCAAAAAAAAAAAACAUAUAUAUUCUAAAUAAAGUUGAUAAAUGCUAACUUUUUAUUCAAAAGAUGAAAGACUCUAAAAACAACAUAUAUUUUAUAUAUAUAUAUAUAUAUAUUAUAUAUAUAUAGCUGGGCUACUAUACUCAUAUGAGUAUAGAGCCUUUUGUAUUCAUAACUUUUCGGCCGUUCAGAUGAAAAAAUGUGCGGUUGGGAUGAAAGUGGUUACGAUUAGGUUGAUAGCGAGCCCCCUAGGGUUGAGUGGGUGGUUGGUUGAAUAGUAUAAUCUAACGGGUGAAAAUGAUUAAAGGGUAGAUCAAACGGUAAAAAAUUUAAAGUGUUGCCAUAAUUUUGUUAAAAUAUCCAUUUAAAUAGUACAUUACCGCUGAAACUUAUCUAUGUAUGAUUCAUUAAUCUUGUGGAGUGUUGAGUAGUUUUGUUGAAUCUUCUGUAACUUUCGCAUGAAAAUAAAUUAUGGUAAAACACUUCGCUAACUUUAGAGAAGACUUUAUAGCCAUAGCAAAUAAAAAAUUUAAGAAACAAAUAUUCUUAGCAUUCUCUGUUCGUAAGCUUUUUAAUAUUCCCAAUUAAAAAUUUUAAGUUGUAAUGAAUAAGAAACGUAUAUCUAUAUCUAUGUAUUUUCUAUACAUUAUUUCUUAUGAAGUUUGUCACGUGACAGUUCCUCUUUCAUACUUACCUUCUCCUCUCUUAUCACUUUUUGAUGCGAUGUUUCGUCUUCCCACCCACAUACCUCUCAAUUAUAAUAUAAUGUAUUAUGUCCACAUAAUUUACUUAAUUUAAUUUAUAAUNCUUUUUUUUUCCUUUUUCUUUUAACAGGUCUACAUUGUCCUCAAAAUAUGUCAAUUAAAGAGAUUUAGUUGGUACAUCUUUUAGGACUUGUUUGAUUUAUCUAUUUUAAACCAUAGAAUAAGAAUAAGAAAUAUUGAUUUCAAUAGUUAUUGGUUAUUUUACAGUUAUUGAAUUUUGAUUAUUAUUACGUUCUGAAAUAUGAAUCGCAAAUGAAUACGGAUACGAAAUAGAUAUUUACGAAAAUAUAUUUAUUUUGAGGGCAAUGUAGACCUGUUAAAAAUGUAGACCUGUUUAACAAAAAAAGAAUAAGAAAUAUUGAUUUCAAUAGUUAUUGGUUAUUUAACAUGAUUUUUAAAUUUUUUUUACUUUUUUCUCGUUUUUUACAGAUUUAGAAGUAUUAAAUAUAUUUUCGUAAAUAUCUAUUUCGUAUCCGUAUUCAUUUGCGAUUCAUAUUUCAGAACGUAAUAAUAAUCAAAAUUCAAUAACUGUAAAAUAACCAAUAACUAUUGAAAUCAAUAUUUCUUAUUCUUAUUCUAUGGUUUAAAAUAGAUAAAUCAAACAAGUCCUAAAAGAUGUACCAACUAAAUCUCUUUAAUUGACAUAUUUUGAGGACAAUGUAGACCUGUUAAAAGAAAAAGGAAAAAAAAAAAGUGAAUGAUUAGCCCUUACAUUGUCUAAUUUAUAGCACCAUUUAGACAUAAAAACCAUAGUGCCAUUUGACCCAAAUGUCUCUUGCAAUCGCCAAAAAUCAACUAAGAUUGACACUGAAGUCGUAAGAUUGAGACACCCCUCAUCUAAAUCAAUUUCCUCCAAAGGAUUUAUGGCUGCAACAGUUUCUCUAUUGCAAGAAUUCAGACAACAUCACUUCAGGCAGAGGAAAAGUGGAAAAGUCCCCACCUGCAGCAGCAAAAUGAAAUAAUUUUUAUCCAUCAGUUCAUCUCCAAACAACUCUAUUUACACAAUGCAUUUACAGAAGCUUUGACAAGGCCAAACAAUUCUUUUUGAAAGAUGGUUCCUAGGACAUCUUGGGGCCAUAUAAAAUGUCAAUUACAACCUAGAAAUACAUCACAAAUCUGUCAAUAGGAAAACUUUCACAGAUCACUGGUAAGAAAAAUAAAAUCGAAUCUGCCCAGUAUUGAACCGUCGAACUUGAAGCAAACCAAUCCUAUUCAUUCAAAGAAAACAUAAAACAACCAAAACACUAAAAUUAGAAGCAUCAGCACCAAAAGCAUAUACUUUUUAAGAAAAUUGAUGAAUAGAAAACAUUUAAACGCAAAGAAUAACCAUUAAAUGCAUUUGACAAACGAGAGCACCAGUUGAUAUCGAACCUUCAAACUUACAAUUCCAUUGUAUUAUAGAAAUUCACAAAAUCAUUUAAGUGGAAGCUCUCGUAAGGUCAAAAUUUUCACAUUCUAAAGAUGUAGUUAUAGUCGAAAGAACUGCAUUAGAUCAAUUAUACAAAAUGUAAUCACAUCAAAACUAAUGCCUUCAACCCUCGCCAAGCUUUCUCAUUGAUGAUUAUUCACUUCCCUAUGUUUCUGCAAUGACCUUUUAUCGAUCUAACUCCACCGGCUAUGUUAGAAUUUAAUCAAGCAAAGCAAUUAGCAUAACCGAAGCAAAAAGAACUUACUAUUAUAAUGAGAAUAUUUCUGUUCUCUAAAAGUAGUGACCCAUCGUAGGUGGGAUGAGUAAGCACAAAACUUAACUUAAUCAGUAAAAAAAUCUGAACAAAAAUUGAAGUAACCAGAUCAAAAAUUGUAUCGGAAGAUGAACCUUGGUUUAUGAUUUGAUUGGGAAUGAGAAAUAGAAUGAGGAAUCAUCCAAAAACUUUUGAUUCGUGAUUGGAACGGAAAUUGGAAUGGAUAACUCCCAUUGCUCAUGUUUGGUUCAUGAUAAGUGGGAAAUGUAAUCAAUAUUACUAAUCUCAAAUAUAGAUAUCCAUAUAAAGAUAAAUUCAGCAAUUAAAAAUUCAAAUUCUUUCCUCUGUAGUCUCAAUUGAGAGGAGGAAUAAUUGAAAUAUCAUCAAAGAGCACACUCCACUAGAGAACGAAAAAUUAGCCAAAAUACUAAUAUCAAAAUAGAAAGAAAUUAAAGAAAAAAUGAGAGAAAAGAAAAGAGGAAAUUGUUCACCACACAAGAAGCUUAAAACAAAAGAAAACUCAAAACGACGUAGUAGACCUAAGAAACCUAAUCAAGCAUUAUAAGCGAAAAGAUAUCUUUUUUUACUUCAGAAUCCACAAGAUCUAUAGCCAACCAACUCCUACACAAAUUUUCCAAAACCAAUGUUCAAAUCAAAACAAAAAACACCAUGAGAUCCAAACGACCCUCUUGGAUCUCUCCACCUUCAGAGAUGGUGCUCUGGAUCCAGGCACACUUGACGACGCAUUUCAAUAGAUAAAAGUCCACUAAAUCAUACAAUAAAUUCUUGGCAACAAUAAUACUUAACUAUAACGAGAUAGAAUUACCUUGGUAUCUAUACUCACCGGAUGUUGCACAAGAUAAAACUCCUUAUUUCCUUAACUGCAUUGAAAUGCUCUUUCCGAAUUAUAAACCAAAAAGUUAACUUUUUCAAGUACUAGAAAGGUCAAAUGAAUCAGAUGUAACUCACCCAGUAGAAAUCAACAAAUACAUUCUUGAACAAUUCGAAACCACACAAGAAUGGUGGCAAGUGAGACCCUGCAUAGAUUGGCCCUAAAUUUCAAAUCAUUACUAAGGGGAACAUAUCAGAGUUUAUUCUUUAAGCCAGUAAGAUGAGCUUAUAUCCACAUGCUUUCUUUUUCUUAGCAUCAAUGCCAACUAAGAUCAACCAAUGCAACUAAAUUUUAACAGUAUGCUCUGCUCAAAUCCAAAACAAGAAGCUCACUUUGGCCCCAAUCCAGCUUCUUUACUAAGACUAAACUGUCAAAAAGAGAUGAAACAUACAUCUCCAAAAAAGAAACUAAAGAAAGCUAUAGAGAUAAUAGAAACUAUUUAAGAAUUACUUAAUAAAAAAAUUUUAUAGAUUGAUGAGUGAGAGUUACACAAGCACUGGUAGUUUAUACAACUAAAUAAUAUCUGUUUCUCGCAACUAUAAAGGAUAGCAAAUUGGUUGAACAACUAAAAUCAGCACAUUACUGUAUUUCAACUGUCUUUAGGACAACUACCAAUCAGAAAUCCAUAUAAGCAAUACUACUAAGAAUAUAAAAGUGGAAGCAUAUUUACCCAGGCCUUUUUACACUACAAACUUUUCAUUUCUCACAUAAAACACUACAAAUAGCUUACAUAGAUUCUUCACAAGACCACCGAUAGACUACCAAAUUAAUGAAAAAGAAGCAUCUUCUACUUGUCAUGUACUAUGAAGAAGAUAAAUUUGUCCACAUUGAUAUAGUAUGUAAAAAGAAAAAUAAAACAAAAUUUAAGUUGCUAAAGCCUCCUAAGUAGUUAUAUCAAAAAGCUGACAACUUAAAAUAAAUAGAAAAUAGCAACACAAACAAAAUUAUGUCCCGCUGUUUUACACAACCAAAUAGCAGGUCUAGUGUGGAGUACAUCCAUUCAACCUACAAAACAUAUGAGAGAACAUUGACUUGUAAAUGAUUUUAAAAGAUCCAUGAAUCACAAACAAACAGAAUAUCUAAACAAAUAAGCGUUGCUUAUUACAUUUUAUUAAUUAUAAUGUCCAUAUUAUGAUCUCAUGAAACAUACUAUCCAACAAUUUAUUAGAACACCAAGCAACAUAUGAAACAUAUUAUCCAACAUUUUAUUAGAACGCCUACUUAGAAUCUCCUCAUGAAUCUCAUGAAAACCAAUAAAAGAUAUAGAGACCUACCAAUUCAAAUACCUUGUCCAAAUUCCUAAUUUAGGAGCCCAAAAAGUUAUCAAUUUGAUUGGAUAUACGAUUGAUUGUGGUAGCUAAUUUUUUUUUUUCAUAAAAGAAAAUUUAGCAACAAUAAUGAUAAGAUAGAGACCAAACAUGUAAUAACGUUGACCAUGGAUGACUCCAAGCUUUAGAAGCACGACUACAAGCCAAAUAGAAUAAAGCACUAAUAGCAUAAGAAAGCUCAUUCUCAUUUCAUACAACAUCUUAUAUGUAAGAUAGUUUUCAAGUUUAGGCUAUAAAUAAGAAAUACUUCAGUUAGUUAAGUACUACAUACAUAAUUAUGAUGCAAAAGUAUAAAAAUAAAUAACAAAAAAUCUACCUUUUACGAACUAGCAAUAGACUUAAGCCUGCAAAGAUCAACAGUAAUACUAUCAUCUAUCCCAAAAAAAGUUAUAGCUUGGAAGGAUUUGGGCUCGGCUUCACCAUCUAUUGCUUGAAAAGUAAGACGGUACCCCAAUCCCGCUGCAAUGCAGCAAGUUAUCUUCUCUAGCUUCAGAAACUCAUAGCUCGUAUUCUGCAUUAAAAAGAAAAUUUCGAAAGAAAUUAUAACGAAAAGAGAAAAAAGAUAAAAAGAAAGAAAGAAUAAAAAAGAAAAUAGAUAAGACAUUAUAAAUAUACAUUCUCAUUGUUAAAACAUUCAAUAGCUGCUUUUGCACAUUUGAUGAUGUAUUUGGAAUCAUAAUCCUCUACCCCUAUAAGACCAAACUCCAAGCCCGGAAAUGAAUCAACGUCAAAUCCCAAUAAGACAUAUACUUACAAUUAGUAUGGAAAAAUAUUUCAAAUCUUUGAUUCUCAAAAGGAUGUCGAUAAGUAUUAAAUUACCUCGCUUUCCUUAAUUUGUUUAUAAAUAUCUAGCCAUUCUUUGCGGGUCCUUCUGCGAGUACCAUGUGGCCAGACGUAAUCGUCAUCCUCUCCCGACGUAUACUCAUAAUCCGUAAGAUUCUUUUUCUUAUUAUUCUUUUCCCCCACGUCUUCACCUUUUCCAUGCCUACAAGUCUCCUCCUCCUCUUUCUUCUCGUCGUGCAAUUCUUGCAGUGGUUCUUCAAGUAUCAACUGCUUAGUAUUUUUCCUACAUAAAGGAAUUAAACAUAUCAGUGCAUAAAAAAUUGUAGACCUACCAAUUUCUGUCAAAACUAAUAAUUUAUCAAAAGUUGUUUAUUAUUUUGCUUUUUUAUAUAAAUUAUGGCGUCAUCCAUUGUGAUAUAUUAAAGAUAACUGAUUUAAAAAUUCUAUAAAAGAAAAAAAAAAAGGGGAAACUUCAAAUCCCUCAUGUCGUUUCGCACUUUCUCACUUUAGUACCCUAUGGUUUAAAGUGUAUCAAGUUAGUACCAUAUGGUUUUGCACUUUCUUACUUUAGUACCAUGUGGUUUCAAGUGUAUCAAGUUAGUACCAUCUGGUUUCGCACUUUCUCACUUUAAUAUCCUGUGGUUUAAUAUUUCGUUAAAUUAUAUACCCCGAAAUGGAUAAUAGAAAGAGAAAAUUGAAACCUCAUGAUACUAAUUUGAUAUAAAAAUAAAACCACAGGUUACUAACUUGAUACACUUGAAACCACAGGAUACUAAAGUGAGAAAGUGCGAAACCACGGGGUACUACUAACUUGAUACAUUUUAAACCAUAGGUACUAAAGUGAAAAAGUGCGAGGGGUAUUUAAAGUUUCCCCAAAAAAAAUUAAAAUAACACUAUCUUGUUUAUAUACAUGUCCCAGUGAGGAGUAAGCUGGGGCAUGACAUAUUUUAUUUCAAUUUAAUAUAAUAGAAACAUAUUUGUGCAAUGUGACAAAUGCAUAAGCGAGCCUCAACAGAGGUAGAUGGGUAUUGAACAUUGGGUUUGGGCUUGGGCUUCGGCCGGGUCUUAAUUUUUUUAAAAAAAGGACAGAAGCCCAACUCAAAGCCCAAUAAUUUUUUCUUUUGGGCCAGGCCUGGACAUAGUAUGACCUGGGCCAAUUCCACACCUAUGAGCGGUAAUUAUAAUAAUUGUCGCCAAAUUAUUUAGGAGCGAUUAUAAUCGACAGCAAUGCAAAAAGUAAUGGCCGCUAAAGAUUACUUUAUUUGUAGCGAAAAACAUAUAUAGUCCUACUCUAAUAUUCAAAAUUAAAUUCCGAGAUUUUACAUGGUUUUUCUUUACGUAAGGAUUUACUCUUUUUUACAGGAAAAAAACUCUAAUAAACAAAUUAAUCUCAAAAACACACACAUAAACAGCACCAGUAAUAUACAAAAAAAUUAAUUGAAAACGAAAAUGAAUCACUAAAUGCUAAUCAAUCAAUUCAAACUCAAAUAGUUUAACAUGGAUUCUAAUCAUCUAUUGCAACCGAAACAAAUUUGUAUACGUAUACAAUGUAACAAAUACAUACAUAAUGUUUAUGUAUGUAUAGACCUUCUCCAGCUGAAUACUAUCCUCGAGAAGGAAGUAGCCGUGACGUGGCGAGAAUAUGCACAAGAAUUAUUUUUUUGAGAGAUAGAUAGCACGCUAUUCGCUUCAUUUAUUUCAAAUAAAAAUAAACUUAGCUGAAAAUGUGAAUCAACUAGGAUUCGAACUUGGGUCUCGGAUACCAACCAUUAAACCCUUUUGCCACUUACGCUAGAGACAGUCAGUUACAGAUACCUAAGAAUUAUAAAAGAAAUAAUAUAUGGAAAUAAAGAUUUAACACGAAAUAUUACAAAAUCAAUUUCGGAUUCAAAUUAGAAAAAUUUUCUAAUUUGAGAUGCGAAUCCGAAUUCGAGUGGGAUAGUAAAUUUCAAUCCAUAUUCCAAAAUUUGCGGAUUUGGGAUCGGGUGGGGUCGGUUAUUAUCCGACCCGUUUUCACCCUUUCGGUGGCGAAUGUUUGUGAUGCUAUUUGCGUGCACCCGGUUCAUCGUGCACCGCAAACUGAAAGCCCUAUUCCCAUUGCGAGGAAACUAGUGCUUGAACAUGAUUCACCACGUCAUCACUGAACCGCACAUUUCAUCGAGCUAUCUCACUUCUUAACAUGGAAUGGUUCAUAAUAAAAUGGAUAAAUAGGUGUAGGGUUUAUAGCUGACGUGGUGCUCCUUGUCCAGGAAGAAAUAUAACACAACCAUGGUGCAACUUGGGUUCGGUUUGGAUAUCUAAAUAAGUUAUCUAAUAACCACUUACUUAUUAUAAAAAAAUCUUUUUGUUGGAUUAAAAUCAGGAGUUUGAUCUUUGCAUUUUGAAAAAUUUUGACAUUCAUAAUUUGUUACGGUAGUAAAUUUUCAACUACGGUGUGAUUUAUUUUAUUUCAAAAAAAUAAUUUAAAUGUUGAAUCUAAUUUUUUUUAUUCUGAAUAUUUGAUUACGUUCCUAUCAAAUACUAUAAGCAUUCAGAGUCAAACACUAAUAAAUUAUCCAACAAUACUCUAUUCAGUAUUACAUUUUUAUUAUAUGACUAAGAAGUUUAAACUUUUGUGCUUGAAAAGUGUUGGUACUCGUAAUUUAAUAGAAUAAUAUAUUUUAUCUUUAUGAUAAAUUACCUUACUCGAAAAAAGAUAAUAGAAAAAUUGCAUUUAUUCUAAAUAUUUGAUUACACCGAGCGCAUGCAUUCGGGAUGCCCGAAUGGUAGUUGGUUGGGAUUGACCAGUGCAGCUUUGACUGAACUAUGAGUUGGUCGUUGAGAUUGGAUAGUACACUAUUCUUGUUUUAGUAUAAUAGUUGGUUGCUUAUUAUACUUAUUAUUUUAUUAUUUUUUCUACAGUUUAAUUAUACUAUUCCAAGCGCAUGCAGGAAAUUUCGGAUGCUCGAAUAUUUAAGAUGAUCAAUAACUCGAACAUUUUGGUCGAGCAUCCAUUUUCACUUUCCAUGUCACGCCACGAAUUUAAACAGAAGUCCGGGCUACGUCAACAGACCCGUCGCAUGCACAAGAAUACUGGUUAAAUGUGCUUAGACGAGAAUAGUUCUAGGAUGGGUGCCCCGGGCACCACAUUCCAGACGUCAGAUUUUCCGUCCGAAAGUAUUCGAGCAUUUUAUAGGACAAUCUUGACACUUAUUAAAAUCUUAGUUGCACACCAUUUUCAGACGCCCACAAUCACUUCCAAAGAGUCCAAAAGUUUAUAGAAACUUCAAUUUAUGCAAAAGCUGAUUUCAGACUCCAUUUUUGCGCCCAUUUUGCGUUAGAACUGAACCAAUUCAUUUAGAAAACUUCAAACCCCUCUAAUAAUGUCAAAUACUAUUCCAUACUGAAAUCUUAUUAAUUGGUGAAAGUUUAGUGCUUUAAAUAAAAUGUUCCUGCUUUCCACAAGAGCCUAAAAUUUUGGUGAGAAUGUACAUAGACCCCCUCAAAUCAUAGCAUUUCUUUUUAAUAUUGAGAUACGAUUAACUUCUAAUAUUUUUUAGAAAAAAAAAAAAGAUUUUAUCAAAUUUGUUAGUGAUUUCACUAAAUUUGAGAAUUUUGGUUAGUUUUAAACAAAUAAAACUAAACAAAUUAACAAUUAAUAACUAAAAAUGUUUUCAAAUGUAAUAAAAUUUCUAACUUAAUUCUAAGUAUAAAAACUCAAAUAAAAAAAAAAUAGAAGUUGAUGGAUUUAUAUCUAUACGUAUAUAUUAUUUGGCAAUACCAUCACAUCACUACAUUGAGCUCUUAUGAAGCCACUUAGCCCAUUGAGAAUCUAUAUCUAUAGUAUAUAUUAUUUGGCAAUACCAUCACAUCACUAUAUUGAGCUCUCACGAAGCCACGUAGCUUAUUGAGAACUCAACCAAUGGUUACCGUCACAUACCUAUCGAAAAUGUUGGACACAUCCAGUUCAUCGUAAAUCAACUUCAAAAUAUCAAUCUAUAGUAUAUAUUAUUUGGCAAUACCAUUACAUUACUAUAUUGAGCUCUCACGAAGCCACAUAGACUAUUGAGAACUCAACCAAUGGUUACUGCCACAUACCUAUCGAAAAUGUUGGACACAUUCGGUUCAUCGUAAAUCAACUUCAAAAUGUCAAUCUAUAGUAUAGUAUAUAUUAUUCGGCAAUACCAUCACAUAACUGCAUUGAACUCUCAUAAAGGCAGGUAUUCCAUUGAGAAUUCAACCAAUGGGGUACUGCCACAUACCUAUUGAAAAUGUUGGACGCACUCGGUUUACCAUAAACCGUCUCCAAAAUGUUAAUUAAAGAUAAAAUUUUGGUUGUAUAAUAAAUUAUUUAAAUAUUUUAUAUUAUAUUACAUUAUAUUUUAUAGUAUUAAUGACCAAAUACUCUAUCAUGAAAAAUUGUGAUCACCAUGUGCAAACAAAUAUUUCUUUUCUCUAUUGAAAAUUAACCAAUGGGGGAAAAAAUAUCUCAUAUUUUAUUUUAUAAUAUUAAUCACCAAAUACUUUAUCGACCAUAUAAUAUUAUAUGCAGUGUAUGAAAAAUUAGCACGUAUCAAGUGCAAGAAAAUAAUUCUUCUUUUUUUUAGAAGUAGCUGGUUACCCAUUAACCAAUGGAGAAUUGCUACAUACCUAUUAAUAUUUUGGAUAUACAUAUUGCAUCAUAAACCUACUCUAAAAUAUACAUCAAAAAUAAAAUUUUGAUAGUAUAAUAAAUUAUUUUAAAUUUUUUUUAAUAACUAUAUAUUUUAACUAUCUGAAAUUUAUCUAUCCGUCGUAGAGCGCGGAUCCUACACUAGUCGCCAUAAAAAAGAAACCAUAGUUGAGGAGCCUGUUUCAAAAUGCCUCCACAUAUACUUACCUAGAAGUUUUAGACCAAGGCCACGGCCCAUGAAACAAUUAAAAUAUUUUAAAUUUUAAAUUUUAUUUAUUGAAUUUGAGCUCAAAGGAAGAAAAGUUAAAUUUUAGAGGUUACAAUUUAAUCCGUUUAGGAAGAUGCAAAACAUAAUUUUAAAUCAAAUAUUUUUUAAGGCCACUGCAAUGUCUUUUACUCAAAAUUUAAUUUUAAAAUUUUAAAAAAAGUAAACACCUUUUUUUGCGGUGAGCGUGGAUCGAACACGCGACCUUCAGAUCUUCAGUCUGACGCUCUCCCAACUGAGCUAUCCCCGCUGCUUUGUUAAAAUAAAACCCAUUUUUGGUUAUAAUAUAAUAUGUAUUAUUCUAUAACAUUUAUUAUUCUAUAAUUAUGAUAUUAUUAUUCUAUUCUAGUUGAAUUAAUUGAGCUCCUUCUAAAAAUACCAAGUAAUUGGUGUUGUGGGUUUUCGGCACUUGAAUUAAAAGCUGUACAAUUAGGAUAAUAGUGAUCUCUUAGGAUUGAAUCAGUGGUUGAAUGAAUAGUAUGAUCUAACAAAUAAAAAUUAUCAAAGAAGUAGAUUUAACAGUAAAAAAUUUACAAAUACCAUAGCUAGACUCUUAUCGGUGUAAGUAAGAGUUUGAUUACGUUGGCUUACAGGAGCAAGUAUUCUGCCUUUUGGCAGAAGACCAGAUUGAGCCGAGCCACAUUCGAAAUGGCAAAAGGUCAGGUUGAGCCGGGUUACGUUCGAAGUGACGUGAGAUUGGUUAGGCUAAGUCACAAUCGAGACCUACGAUUGUUGUGUCUGCGCGCUUUAAGCAAAUUAGUUAUAUAUUUCUAAAAGCUUGAGCUUUUGGGAUUAAUGAUUAGUACGAACGAUCCGACUAAUAACAAAUUUGAUAUACCUAUAUGUAAAAUCAAGCCUCGUACAGCCUUUUUAAAGGUUAUUUCGCCUCGAUAGAAUCUCUACGAAAAGAUUGAUUUGGUAAUUAACAUUAUAAAAGAAGUUUUUUUUAGCACUGUUUAAGUAAUACUUUUUAUAUAUCUCUGUUCAUAACAAAUUGUCCACUUUUUACCUCAAUCUUUACUCUUUUAAUAGAGUGUUGUUUGAGUAGUUCAAAGAAACAAUGAUAAUUUGGAAUUAAAAUCUUACGAGAAUUUCGCGUUGUAGGAACAAAACUGGCACAUUAGAGAUUUUGGGUGCAAAACGUAUCAUCUUUUGAAUCUUGUUCGCGAGGUGCCUCUUAAAAUAGAAGAUCUGUUUCAAAAGUUACGUCAUAUAGACGUGUAAAUUGAAGCUUCUACAUUUGCUUGUAAAUAAGUAAAUUAAUGCUUUUCACUACAAUUAGGCUCCGUUUGGAUAAUCCUGAAAACGUAGCAUAGUUAAACUAUGCUAUGGCGGUAGGAAAAAUAUCCUAUGAAGCAUUUGGGAGGAAAAAAAGUAACGUAAUUUUUGGAGUAUAGUUAAACUAUACUCCAAAAAAUGGAGUAAAAGUAUAAUCCACUCUAACCAAAGGAAAAAAAUUCCACCAUUCUUGAGCUCCCUUAUUUAAAAAAAUGCAUCAAGUUUUAACUUUUAAAUUUCAACAUAGCUUUUAAAUUUCAACAUAGAUUUAAAAUUUAAAAUUUAAAAUUUGAAAUUUGAAAUAUCAUAUUUGAAAUUUUAAAUUAAAAUUUUAAAUUUUAAAUUUUAAAUUUUAAAUUUCAAACUUUAAAUUUCAAAUUUCAAAUUUCAAAUUUCAAAUUUAAAUUUCAAUUUCAAAUUUAAUCAUUUAAAUUUCAAAUAUUUCAAAUUUAAACUUUAAUUUUAAAUUUAUUUUUUUUUAAAUUUAAAAUUUAAAAUUCUAAAUUCUAAAUUUUAAAUUUUUUUAAAUUUCAAAUUUUUAAUUUUAAAUUUAAAUUUUAAUUUUAAAUUUUAAAUUUAAAUUUCAAACUUUUUAAAUUUUAAAUUUAAUUUUAAUUUUUAAAUUUAAAUUUAAAUUUAAAUUUCAAUUUCAAAUUUCAAAUUUGAAAUUUCAAAUCUCAAGUUUCAUACUUCAAUUUCAAUUUUAAACUUCUAAAUUUAAUUAUUUUUUAAACUUAAAUUUUAAUUUAUUUUUAAAUUUAAAAUUCUAAUUUUCAAAUUUCAAAUUUAAUUUUAAAUUUUUUAUUUUAAAUUUUAAAUUAAAAAUUUAAAAUUUAAAAUUAAUUUAGAUUUUGUAUAAUUUAAAUUUAAAUUUGUAAAUUUAAUUUGAAAAUUUAAAAUUUAAAAUUCAAAAUUCAAAAUUUCACAUUUCACAUAUCAAAUUUUAAAUUUUAAAUUUUUUUUGAAAUUUUAAAUUUUAACUUUUAAUCUUAAAAUUUAGAAAAAUCCUGUAAAAUUGUACAAUGCGUAUCCAAACAGUUUAAAAAUUGAAUCCGUGGAAUUUUUUAGAGUUGCAGGAUUCUCUAUUUUAUCUAGACCGAAACCACAGUUUAUAAAUUCCGUGGAGAUAUUUUACUGUGUAUCCAAACAGGCCCUUAGAAUGAAAUACUUAUUUGGUUCCUAAACCAACUUAAGAUUAGCUUAGAUGUGUCACCGUAACAAAACUUCUACCCUUCAUAUUAUUGGAUGUAAAUGAAACCUUUUUUUUUUUUCCUCUGAAAAACAUACACAAACAAACAUAUUUUACAUUCAAUAUUCUUCCUUCUAUAUAUAUCAAGAAAUGAAUGGGUAAAAAUUAAAUGAGACGUCUAAAAGAAUUUGAACUCGAUCAAAUACACCUUCUGCUCCAAAAUGGUGUUAUCUAAAAGAUCGAUCUGAUCUUCUUAUUCAUUGAAAAAUUCUCUUUACAUGCCUCUGAUUCUCUAGUCCUCGUAUAAAAAUCAAGGAUAAAAAACAAAAAAAAUCUUACUUAAAACCAAUAUCUUUUCCCCUCCUAACUCAUUUACUCACAAAUAUAAUAAUCCACAACUUCUCUAUAUCCAAAAAAAUGAAAAGCAAGUAAAAAAAUUUUAAAAUUUGCAUCCUAUUUGUUCCUGCACGAAGAUGAAGAAGACCCAUUGCUCAAGAGCUGUUCACAAGGCAUUGGAGAAACAUCAUAUGCCUCUCCCCUAACAAACUCACACUGCCACUUCUUUUUCAUAUUAACCCCUUCAAAACUAACAUUUCGGAAACAAAGCCCUUCAUAAAUUGUUCCCUUAAUCCCUUCCAAAACCGGCGACCGCGCGAUAUUCGAUCCGACCACGUUACCGACAUAAAGAUUACUGAUCCUGGGGAGAGCAUUUGGAUCAUAAUUCUCAUCUGGGUGAUCAUUUGAGCCCCUACUAAACCUCACAGGGAUCUUAACAUUUUCCAUGGCCACAUUUGUGAUGGUCACAUUUGUUACGUAUCCGCCCCGCCCUUUGUCGGUUUUGAACCGGACCGCAGACGCCGAGUUCCAGACGCGGAGAUCAUUCACUAGGAUGUUCGAGAUCCCGCCGGACAUCUCGCUUCCGAAGCCGACCCCCGAGCACGUCGGAGUCGUGCCGGAGAUUCUCUGGAUGAUGAUGUCGGUGCUCGGACGGGCGACCGCCAUGCCGUAUUGGUCCCAGCCACUCUUUACUGCAACCAAGUCAUCUCCACUCUCAAUGUAGCAAUCCUCAAUGCACACUUGUGAGCUUGAAUCUGGUGGUUAACAAAGUGUAAGUUCAUUCCUUUGUUGCAUAUGAUUGAGUACACAGUUGUCUAAGAUCAGCUUCUAUCUAUCUAGAUUGAUAUUUACCUUAAAAAUAUUAAGUCCUCUUACAAGGUUUGGAAAUGCCAUAAUGAAACUAUUGUAUAGAGUUACUGUACUUUCAAAAGUAUAGAAAAGUGGUCCUCUUUAGGGUUGAGCUAGCGGUCGCCCUAAGAAAAUAAUAUUAAUCCAAGAAUUAGAAAUGAUCAAAGGAAUUGAUCCAAGGGUUAAAAAUUUAGAAACAUUAAUUCCUUUAUGCUUUCGGAAGCACCAUAGUCAGACUCGUUACUAUAAAAAGUGUAACAACGAAUAUAGAUUAGUAUUUUAGUGCUUUCUAGCAGUUAAAACAAAGAAUAUGGAUUGUGGAAUUACAUAUUUUGGGAAAAACAAGUGUUCAUUUCUUUUCUUUUCUUUUCUUUUUUGAACUUUUCACUCAAAACAAAAGACAAAUUAUUAAAAUACAAACCUGGAUCAAUACCAUCAGUGUUUGGGGAGUUAAGAGGUGCCAAAAUAGUUAGAUUCCUUAUCACCACAUUGCUGAAACAAAUUAGGGAACACACAAAAAAUAAAAAAGAAAGAAAAUUAGUCCAUUAAUUUGCAAAGAAAAGAGAGAAUAUCUUAUUUAAUCAAGAUAAAAAAUAUAUAAAAAUUACCUGAACUAUGGAUCAUUUUGAGUGGCUAUCCAACCAUUCAAAAUUUUGAUUUUACUAUCCAACCAUUCAAUUUAUUUGAUUUAAGUGAUUUAAUAGCACUUUGACUUAAAAUUUUGAAUGCCUUAUUAUCUUUACAUGUUCAACUAAUAUAUUCAUGCAAUUCUUGCAGCUACAAAUUUAUCAAAGUAAAUAAUUAGCUAAAAAUAUAAAGUCAAAAUACCGUUUACUGAUUCCACUACAACAGAAUUAGGUUAUAGCGACACAUGUUUGGGACACUUUUUUAUAUGUGUCACGUUUAUGUCAAAACUUAAAAAAAUUCUAUUAAUGUCUAAAUAUAAAGUCCAAUCCAACUAAAAAUAAAAGGGUACUCUACUCGACCCACUCCACUUAGCCCAUCCGGCCCGAUUACAAACAGAAAAGAAAAAGAAAAGAAAAAGAAAAGAAAAUUCGAUUAUCAUUUUUCCUUUUUCCGUCACUCAAUCGACUGAAAUCCUAAACGAAGAUCAUUUCCUCUUGUCCUCCUCCGCCACCGUAGCCAACGAGGUAGAGUUCCGGCGGUUGCUAGAUGUUUAAAUAAAUAUUGGUAAAUUAGCAGCACUCUUUUAGAUUAUAGCAACACUCUUUAACUGUCACUAUAUAUCUAGCGACCCCACAUGUAGCAACACUUUUCAAAUGUGUCGGUAAAUUUAGCCGGCAGCACUUUUUUGACCUAUACCGACAUUUAAAAGUGUCGCUAUAGACCGUUUUUGUUGUAGUGAGAAAAAUCAAAUAAAUUGAAUGGUUGGUAGUGAAAAUCAAAAUUUUGAAAGACAGCGCAGCCAACUCAAAAUGGGCUAUAGUUCUGGUAGGUUCUGUACAUUUUUACCUUUUAAUCAGUCAAAAGAAGGGUUAAAGGAAAAGGGAAAAGUUA
rnacentral:lncRNA from 1 species